AUGACCAAAGUGGACACUGGUGGGUGUACUAUGGCUUCAACGGCGUCCCAACGGCUGUGGGCUACUACCCAAAGUCAUUGUUCACAAACAUGGCAAAAAAGGCAAACCAGUUCUCGUUUGGUGGCUUCGUGUUCGCAGAAAGGGCACUUCCAACUCCUCCAUUGGGCAGUGGCGUCCUUCCUGGUGGCAAGGGACGUGCGGCAUCGUUUACUGACUUGCGCCUCAUUGAACGGGAUGGAAGGAGCAGCCCCAUCAUGAAGGACUUGCCUACUGUUAUAUCCAACAAUAAAUGUUAUUCUAUCACUCCUAUUGUUAAUUCCGGGUGCUUCUAUGGCGGGCCAAGAGGUUGUGUGUAAUACUAAGCUGUACUUUGAACGUGGUGGUGUAAUAAUGUUUCCCUUGAGUUUGUCUUCCCAAACUCAUACUGGCCUAAUAAGACACUAUGUGUUACCGUAUUAUGCACAUUAGCGAUGAAUUUACUCCUUCUGUAAAUUUUGAGUAUACACCGAGAGACAAGUUUAUCAUGGAAACCACAAAUGCAUUAGAAAUUGACAAAACUCCGAAGGCUAACUAUCAUGCAUACUAGGAAGGGAGAAGUAUAUUUUUCGUCCCUCAUUUCUCUCGAAAGUACAGAAAUAGUCCCUCGACUUCAAAACCAGCAAAACUUAGUCCCUCAAUUUUUCAAACUGGAUAACUUUAGUCCUUUGUACCAUUUUGGGUGGUUUUCGUGUGACGUGGAGAUGGUUUUGAAGAAAUAUUGACAGAUCAACUUACAGGUGAUUGGGUCCCAUUUGCCAGUAGGGAGAAAGAAAUACCAAAAUGAAAAUAAGACUGGCGAGGGGAGAAGAAGGUUUCAAUCACCUGGUAGAGCUCAGAUUUUUCGGUACCCACAAGAGUUAACCAACAAAGCAAACACCACUUUGUGCCUAAGCUGGAGCUCUUCCUGAGGCGGAACUGUAGCCACGUAUCCUCACCAUGGGCGUGUUUGGUUGCAGUUUGCAACAGUAGUUGCAUUGCAUGUCCAUCUUCAGCCAGCCUGGUUCUUGAAAUGCAGCCUUAUAUGCAGCAGAUGCAAUGAUAAUCCCCAAGUGCAGGGAAUCAUCGUAGCAAUUUCCAAAGGUGGAAGUGAUAAGUAUGGAGUGUCGAACCCACAAGGAGCUAAAGGUAAGAUCAAUAUUCUCUCAAGCCCUAUCUGCCACUGAUACGACUCUACGUACACCGAACGUUUGCUUCCAACUAGCAACGAGAAAUAAAACUACAUUGUGGGUAUGAAGAGGAUAACUUUGCAUGAUAUCAGAGAGCUAAAAUAUGAAAAUAGGUGUUGUUAUCAUAAGGUUAGAAUAUAUAUAAUAAAUAUUAUAAAUAGCGAGUGUGGAAUAAUGGUGGAUCAGUGUGCGGAAUUGUCCUAGGCAACCGUUGACAAGACCGGUGAUCACUAUUGCAGUUUAAUAUGAGGGAGAGGCAUAAGCUAACAUACUUUCUCUACUUGGAUCAUAUGCACUUAUGAUUGGAACUCUAGCAAGCAUCCGCAACUACUAAUGAUCAUUAAGGUAAAACCCAACCAUAGCAUUAAAGCAUCAAGUCCUCUUUAUUCCCAUACGCAACACCCCCCUUACUCGGGUUUGUGUUUCAGCACCAACCCACUAUAAGCGAAUCAUGAACGUAUUGCAACACCCUACAGCGGGAACCCCUCACGCUUGCGCGAAACGGAGGGCACCAUAGGACAGCAUCAAAGUAAAACAUACAACUCAUACCAAUCUAGAUCAUCAAUCAACCCAAAGACAAAACAUAUCUACUCAAAACAUCAUAGGAUGGCAACACAUCAUUGGAUCAUAAUAUGUGGCAUAAAGCACCAUGUUCAAGUAGGGAUUACAGCGGGGUGCGGGAGAGUGGACCGCGUAAAAGAGAUGAGGAUGGUGAUGAUGAUGGUGAUGUUGAUGAAGACGAUCACCGCGGCGAUGAUUCCCCUCUCGAUGGCACUCCGGUGCCACCAAGAGAGAGGAGGAGAGGUUCUCCCCCUUGUGCUUCCUCCUCCAUGGCCUCCCCCCUGGAUGGGGAAAGGUUCUCCCUCUGGUCCUUGGCCUUCAUGGCGAUGAUGGCCUCUCCGGGAUACUCCUCCAUGGCCUCCGGUGAUGAUGGCCCCCUCCGGCAGGGUGCCGGAGAGGGCCUGGAUUGAUUUCUCGUGGCUACAGAGGCUUGCGGCGGCGGAACUCCCGAUCUAGGUUAAUUUUCCGAGGUUUCUGUAUUUAUAGGAAUUUUUGGCGUCGGUCUCACGUCAAGGAGGUGCCUGAGCUGUCCACGAGGCAGGCCCACGCGCCCGGGGGGGGUGGGCGCACCCCCCACCCUCGUGGGAAGCCCCGGACUCUUCUGGCCCAACUUUGAUGCUCCGUGGUCUUCUUUUGGUCCAUAAAAAAUCAUCAAAAAUUGGCACGUCAAUUGGACUCCGUUUGGUAUUCCUUUUCUGCAAAAUUCAAAAACAAGGAGAAAACAGAAACUGGCACUGGGCUCUAGGUUAAUAGGUUAGUCCGAAAAAUCAUAUAAAAUAGCAUAUAAAUGCAUAUAAAACAUCUAAGAUGGAUAAUAUAAUAGCAUGAAUACUUCAUAAAUUAUAGAUACGUUGGAGACGUAUCAGCAUCCCCAAGCUUAAUUCCUGCUCGUCCUCGAGUAGGUAAAUGAUGAAAGAAAUAAUGUAUGAAGUGUGAAUGCUAGCAAGUGCUUAAGUUUGAUCAAUGAUAAUUCCAAUCAGUUUUUCUAGCAUCAUUAUAUGUCAUAACAGUAGCUCAUCUCAUAAAACUUUUCAUGAUCAAGUAACAAGCUAUUCACAUGUUAAAGUAUAGAUCAUAAACUUUCUUGAAAACUAACAAACCGUGUUAUCAGUCAUCAAACAAUUACAGUUCAUCUUAUUUUCAGGAAGAGUCUAUGUCAGAGCUUUGAUUGAGCAAACUCCAUAUACUCAACUAUCAUUUAGUCUUUCACAAUUGCUAACACUCACGCGAUAUUUAUGGGUUCAAAGUUUUAAUCAGACACAGAGAAAAAUAGGCGCUUAUAGAUUCGCCUCCCAACCUUUUACUUCAAGGGUAAUGUCAACAAUAAUAGUUCAUGAUGCCUUGCAUCCAAUUGGAUAUAUAUAUCAGAAUCUUUCCAACACAAUGUGCUUGCCAAAGGAUAAAAUGUAAAAAGGAAAGGUGAAAAUCACCAUGACUCUUGCAUAAGGUAGAAGAUAAAAGUAAAAGAUAGGCACUUCGCAGAGGGAAGCAGAGGUUGUUAUGCGCUUUUAUGGUUGGAUGCACAAAAUCUUAAUGCAAAAGAACGUCACUUUAUAUUGCCACUUGUGAUAUGGACCUUUAUUAUGCAGUCCGUCGCUUUUAUUUCUUCCACAUCACAAGAUCGUAUAAAGCUUAUUUCCUCCACACUAAUCAAUCAUACAUAUUUAGAGAGCAAUUUUUAUUGCUUGCACCGAUGACAACUUACUUGAAGGAUCUUACUCAAUCCAUAGGUAGGUAUGGUGGACUCUCAUGGCAAAACCGGGUUUAAGGGUAUUUGGAAGCACAAGUAGUAUCUCUACUUAGUGCAAAGAAUUUGGCUAGCAUGAGGGGGGAAGGCAAGCUCAACGUGUUGGGCGAUCCAUAACAAUAUACUUUAUUUCAGAUAUAAGAAAACAUAACCCAUUACGUCGUCUUCCUUGUCCAACAUCAACCUUUUAGCAUGUCAUAUUUUAAUGAGUGCUCACAAUUACAAAAGAUGUCCAAGAUAGUAUAUUUAUAUGUGAAAUCCCUCUUCCUUCGAUAUUCUUUCAUGAAUUGUUCAAGUGACCAAUUCUACGUUUGCUAACUUUCAAUAAGUUUACUACCUAUACUUAUUAUGUGUGAAGUCAUUACUCCCCAUGUUAUAAGAAUAUGAAACAUAUAUAAAUUUAGGUUUAUGACAUUCAAUUUAUUCAACCAUUUACUCAUAGGAUAUACGUGAAGCACAUGAGUAAAUGACAAACUACUCCAAAAGAUAUGAGUGAAGAACACUGAGUAGUCAAAUAAUUAACUAGCCAUGGGAGGAUUCUUUUUCAUUCAAUAUUUCAGAUCCAAUGAUUUUAUUCAAACAGCAAGUAAAAUUGAAAAUACGCUCCAAGCAAAACACAUAUCAUGUGACGAAUAAAAAUAUAGCUCCGAGUAAGGUAUAUCGAUAGUUUUGAAGACGAAAGAGGGGAUGCCUUCCGGGGCAUCCUCAAGCUUAGGUACUUGAGUCUUCCUUGAAUAUUACCUUGGGUUACCUUGGGCAUCCCCAAGCUUAGGGUCUUUCCACUCCUUAUUCUCCUCAUAUCGAUAUCUCACCCAAAGCUUGAAAACUUCAAUCACACAAAACUUAACAAAACUUCGAGAGAUAGGUUAGUAUGAUAAAGAGUAAACCAUCCACUUUGGUACUGUCUAAGACAAGGUUCAUAAUUGUUCCCACACAAUGUCUACUGUACCAUAUCAUUUCUACAAUUUAUAUUGAGAAAUAUAAGUCAUAGAAAUUAGAAAACAAACAAACUAUGCAAUGAAAACAGAAUCUGUCAGAAACAGAACAGUCUGUAAUGAUCUGAACAUAAAUCAUACUUCUGCUACUCCAAAAAUUAUGAAAUAAAUUGGUGGACGUGAGGAAUUUGUCUAUUAAUCUUCUUCAAAAAGAAUCAACUCAAAAUCACUCUUCUGUAAAAAAUGACAGCUAAUCUCGUGAGGGAAAAGUUUCUGUUUUUUAAAGCAAGAUCACAUUAACUUUCACCCAAGUCCUCCCAAAGGUCUUACUUGGCACUUUAUUGAAACAAAAGCUAUAAAACAUGAUUACUACAGUAGAUUAAUCAUGUAGACACACAAAAAUAGUAAGGGUAAAUAUUGGGUUGUCUCCCAACAAGCGCUUUUCUUUAAUGCCUUUUAGCUAGGCAUGAUGAUUUCAAUGAUGCUCACAUAAAAGAUAAGAAUUGAAACAUAAAGAGAGCAUCAUGAAGAAUAUGACUAGUACAAUUGGUUCUAACCAACUUCCUAUGCCUAGGGAUUUUGUGAGCACACAACUUAUGGGAACAAGAAUCAACUAGCAUAGGAAGGCAAAACAAGUAUAACUUCAAAUCUUUAAGCACAUAGAGAGGAAACUUGAUAUUAUUGCAACUCCUACAAGCAUGUAUUCCUCCCUCAUAAUAAUUUUCAGUAGCAUCAUGGAUAACAAAUUUGUUCUCAUACUCAAUUGGAACCUCUUCCGAAAUAGUGGAAUCAUUACUAGCUAAAGUUGACACUCUUCCAGAUCCACUUUCAUAAAUAUCACAUUAAGAUUCAAUACCCUCCAAAAUAGUGGGAUCACUAAUUCCUAAAGUUGACACUCUUCCAAACCCACUUUAAAUGAUAGUUUUAUUCAUACUCCAAAAGAUAUAAGUGAAGUUCAUGGAGCAUUCUACAAUUAAUAUAGACUAACCAAUAUCCAAGCUCAAAAUGUAUAAGUGAAGCACAUGAAGCAUUCUACAAAACCAUACUCAAAAGAUUUAAGUGAAGCACAAAGAGCAAUUCUAUAAGAUCAUAUUUAAAAGAUUUAAGUGAAGCACAUGAAGUAUUCUAUAAAUCAAUGAAGCGCUAUCUCAUGCUAGCAUGGUUCUUAAAGGAAAAACAAAAACACAAAGGACACAAAUCAUGUGAACAAAACAAAAACCGAUGUAUACCGAUAAUUGUUGAAGAAGGAAGAUGGGAUGCCAACCGGGGCAUCCCCAAGCUUAGAUGCUUGAGUAUCCUUUGAAAUAUUUACUUGGGGUGCCUUGGGCAUCCCCAAGCUUGAACUCUUGCCUCUCUUUAUUCUUCUCAUAUUGAUAGCUCCUCGAUCUUCGAACACUUCAUCCACACAAAACUUUAACAAGAACUUUGUGAGAUCCGUUAGUGCAAUAAAGCAAACUACCACUUUAAGGUACUGUAAUGAACUCAUUCUUUAUUUAAAUUGGUGUUAAACAUACUGUAUUCCAACUUCUCUAUGGUUCAUACCCCCCGAUACUAGCCAUAGAUUCAUCAAAAUAAGCAAACAACACGCGAAAAAACAGAAUCUGUUAAAAAUAGCACAGUCUGUAGUAAUCUGGAAGUUUAGUAAACUUCUGUAACUCCUAAAAUUAUGAAAUAAAUAUGAAAAUUUUAACAAUCUGUACAGAAGUAAUGUGCAAGGAGUUUCAGACCCAUUUGACCUUCCAGUAAAAAAUGUAAAAUCACGAUCUACAGCCAAAGUUUCUGUUUUUGUUCUGCACAUAGUAAACAAGCAAUCUAAUCAUCCUAGAACCAAAACUUGGCACAUUAUUUUUAUAAUACAAUGGAUAUAUACAAGGGGAUAAUUAUUUACAGAGAAACUUCCAUGAAAAAUUCUGCAUUGUUUCCGUGAACAUGAACACAAGUGCUCAAGGUCGACCCUCACUUCUUCAAUGCAUAACUUUCCAAUCACUUUUCUUUUUGAAAAACUUUUUAGGCAUGAAAGGUAAGUAAAUUUUUUUGUAUUUUCAUUCUUUUAAUUUUUUUGUAUGUUUCACCCACAACUAAACAGAAACAAAAACGAAAAACAAAAUCUACUUAGUGAAGAAAGCAAACAAGCACACACGAGAAUAUCAACCCCACGCUAUUGCUCCCCGGCAACGGCCCAGAAAAGAGCUUGAUAAUCCCCAAGUGCAGGUAAUCAUCGUAGUAAUUUCCAAAGGUGGAAGUGAUAAGUAUGGAGUGUCGAACCCACAAGGAGCUAAAGGUAAGAUCAAUAUUCUCUCAAGCCCUAUCUGCCACUGAUACGACUCUACGUACACCGAACGUUUGCUUCCAACUAGCAACGAGAAAUAAAACUACGUUGUGCGUAUGAAGAGGAUAACUUUGCAUGAUAUCAGAGAGAUAAAAUAUGAAAAUAGGUGCUGUUAUCAUAAUGUUAGAAUAUAUAUAAUAAAUAUUAUAAAUAGCGAGUGUGGAAUAAUGGUGGAUCGGUGUGCGGAAUUGUCCUAGGCAACCGUUGACAAGACCGGUGAUCACUAUUGCAGUUUCAUAUGAGGGAAAGGCAUAAGCUAACAUACUUUCUCUACUUGGAUCAUAUGCACUUAUGAUUGGAACUCUAGCAAGCAUCCACAACUACUAAUGAUCAUUAAGGUAAAACCCUACCAUAGCAUUAAAGCAUCAAGUCCUCUUUAUUGCCAUACGCAACAACCCUCUUACUCGGGUUUGUGUUUCAGUCACUCACCAACCCACUAUAAGCGAAUCAUGAACGUAUUGCAACACCCUACAGCGGGAACCCCUCACGCUUGCGCGACACGGAGGGCACCAUAGGACAGCAUCAAAGUAAAACAUACAACUCAUACCAAUCUAGAUCAUCAAUCAACCCAAAGACAAAAGAUAUCUACUCAAAACAUCAUAGGAUGGCAACACAUCAUUGGAUCAUAAUAUGUGGCAUAAAGCACCAUGUUCAAGUAGGGAUUACAGCGGGGUGCGGGAGAGUUGACCGCGUAAAAGAGAUGAGGAUGGUGAUGAUGAUGGUGAUGUUGAUGAAGACGAUCACCGCGGCGAUGAUUCCCCUCUCGAUGGCACUCCGGUGCCACCAAGAGAGAGGAGGAGAGGUUUCCCCCUUGUGCUUCCUCCUCCAUGGCCUCCCCCCUGGAUGGGGAAAGGUUCUCCCUCUGGUCCUUGGCCUUCAUGGCGAUGAUGGCCUCUUCGGGAUACUCCUCCAUGGCCUCCGGUGAUGAUGGCCCCCUCCGGCAGGGUGCCGAAGAGGGCCUAGACUGAUUUCUCGUGGCUACAGAGGCUUGCGGCGGCGGAACUCCCGAUCUAGGUUAAUUUUCCGAGGUUUCUGUAUUUAUAGGAAUUUUUGGCGUCGGUCUCACGUCAAGGAGGUGCUGAGCUAUCCACGAGGCAGGCCCACGCGCCCAGGGGGGUGGGCGCGCCCCCACCCUCGUGGGCAGCCCGGGACUCUUCUGGCCCAACUCCGAUGCUCCGUGGUCUUCUUUUGGUCCAUAAAAAAUCAUAAAAAAUUGGCACGUCAAUUGGACUCCGUUUGGUAUUCCUUUUCUACAAAAUUCAAAAACAAGGAGAAAACAGAAAUUGGCACUGGGCUCUAGGUUAAUAGGUUAGUCCCAAAAAUCAUAUAAAAUAGCAUAUAAAUGCAUAUAAAACAUCUAAGAUGGAUAAUAUAAUAGCAUGGAUACUUCAUAAAUUAUAGAUACGUUGGAGAUGUAUCAUGCAACCUGUUUGGUUGCCUGCAUCGCAUGGAGGGGCACUUACCCCCCUGUUGUUUGGUUGCCCUUUUUGUGCUUAGGAUGUGAGCAUAUGCAAACUUCAGCUGUUUGGUUGCAAACAACGUUUGUGUUCUGCUCACCCCAUUCAAAUGUGGUGGCCUUACCACCACAUGAUCAGCACAACAGCAAGAUCAAACAAAGCAAGCACCCAAAUGAAAUCAAACACAGCAAGCAAGGAAAUGACAGCAAACUACUUAACUACAUAGCAUAAGUCUAGAUUAACAGCAGGAGCAUCCUCCUUCCCUGCUCCAAGCCAGGGUGCUGCUCCUGGCCAAAAUAUGAACAAGUUCCCAGCACAAGUCUCGCCACACACCAUAAAAGUUCAACACUAACACCUUACUUAACUUAACUACAUAGCAUGCUCAAUGUUACCAACGCAAUUGUGCCUGCUGCAACGAAACCUGCACAUGACCGAGGAGUCGUGGUUGUAGAUCUGAAUCUUCAGUUUGAGUCCUGAGAUGCGCACAAUGACGAGGUCGCCGGGGACGAUCUGGUGGCUGCGGCAGAAGUAGUUCCAGCCCCGGCCAAGCACCAUGUGCCCCUCGAAGUUCUGGACCUACACCCAGAACACGCACCGCUUGUUCGCCGACAGCCUGACCACGCGCGGGAGCCGCUUGAUGACCAGCCAGGUGUUCAUCACCUCCACGAACUUGCGAGGGACGACGAGCAUGGAGAGGUCCUCGUUGUCCUUGAUCUGCUGGUAGAAGCGCAGCGGCUCCCUGGCCCCCUCCUCGUGGCCCUGCCUCGGAGAUCGUCCCCUUGAACGAGGCAUGCUCAUGAAGGCGAUCCUGCCAGGCAGGUCCACCGUCCUGAGCCACCUGUUCAUGGGGAUGAAUUCCUCGGCGCCCUCAGCUCCGGCCACCACCUGAGCUCCUCCUCCCGCCACAUCCCAAUCAGUCUUCAAUAUCUUGUCAGGUAAGAUGACAAGUAUUAGUGCACAAACUCUUUGCAAAAUGGCACUGAUCAGAGACAUUUGCCCAAGAGCAAAUGCCACUGAUCAGUGCACAAAUUCUUUGAGCAAAUGCCACUUAUCAAUGGCACUUGCUGUUAGGCAAAUGCCACUAAUCAGUGGCACUAAUCAGUGGACUUGCCCAAUAGCAAGUUCCAUUGAUAAGUGGCAUUUUGCCCAAUAGCAAGUGCGAUUGAUAAGUGGCAUUUGCCUAUGGGCAAAUGCCACUUAUCAAUGAAACUUGUUGUUGGGUAAAUGCCACUAAUCAGUGGCACUGAUCGGACUUGCUGUUGGGCAAGUCCACUGAUCAGUGGCAUCUGCUUUGCUGCAACUACCACUCAGCAGUGCACUAUCCUAAACAUGGAAACAUCUAAAAAUAGCAAUAGCAAGUGCCAAUACCACCCAUGUGCAGCCAUGCACAUUUGGUAGCAUCCUAAAAUGGUCCUACUACAUGCACGUAUAACAUUCAACACAAACCCUAGCUUGAACAUGUAUGUUAGCAACAUGAACAACAACAUGAACAUGAUCCUAGCUUGAACAUGAACAUGCCAUUUGCAUGAACACACAUCCUAGCAAGACCCUACCAUGAGCACACAUCCUAGCAAAGAACACUACCAUUGGGGAUUCUAGCAUGAACACAGCUACUAGCAUGAACACAGAUCCAGUAGCACAAGAAAAUUAUCCUAGGACACACACUGUACAAAACAAGAACAGAUCAGUCCGAUUGGAUUCGAUUGGGAUCGCAUCCAAUCGGAUCUGCUAGAAUCCUAUCUAAUCCUAUCGAAUCCACUAACUAAUAGAACAUGCCUAAGAAAUAAACCCCUAAUCUACAUCUACGAGGAAGCAUUGAGGGGGUUUGAAUCACUGGAGCACGCGCAGCCGCAGCGAACUGAGGCCGGGGUGAAAAACCCGGCGGGAAGGAGAGAGGUGGCGGAGCAGAGGAGGAGCCGGCCCUGGCGACAGCCUGCGGCAUCGGCCCCAUGCUCAUCGCCACGCCGGAGGUCGAGGAGGACGGCCCGCCGACAGGAGAAAACCCUUGGACGGGGGUCAAGAUAACCCCCCUACCCAAUGGGGUCCCAAUAAUCGGCAGCUCCGUCAACGGCGCCGGCGCCGAGCCCAGGACCACGAGGUCUGGAAUCUGCGGCGGAGCAGGAAGGGCUGGAACGGCCGGCACCGCAUUGGCCGGUGCUCGUGGUGGACCGCAGCAGAUGGGGGACGGCGCUCGCAGCGCCGACACCAGGUCCCUACCCAAGUUCUGCAGCCCGACCACCCAGUGCUCCUGGAUGCUGGCGAUGCGCUGGUCGAAGGGGGUCAGAGGGCAGCGCGGCGGUGGGCGAGGCGGAGCCAUCGGAGGAGAGGAGAGGGAGGGACGGAGAGGGAGGGACGGUGAGGGAGAGAGGGAGCGGUGGGAACAGUGCAACUGGGCGGUGACAUGAGAGUGGGGGCGAGUUAUGAGACGUCCCUUCCGUCUCCCGUGCUGCCUGAGGCAUGCAACUGCCUCGCACGCAUGGCUGCGCCCAGCCAGGCUCGCGAGAAACUGCCGAUUCGGCAGUUUCCGCCGGGCCAGGCUGCGGGCUGCUUUAAGGUCCAUGCGGGCCUCAAACCGCAUGCACCCAAGGCAACCAAACAGGCCGCGCACAUCCCGCGCGGGCCUGGUUGGGCUGCAUGCGAGCAACCAAACACGCCCCAUGUGACUGCACCAGUACAGCCGCGCACCAUCACCACCAUCCCCACCGUUACCUCAAGGAUGUACUGGAAGGACGCGGCUCAGCUGCUGCAACCGGAAGCUGAGGUCGUCUCACACUUCGCCAUGUCAUGGCGGCCCAGAACAAGGAUAUGGACACAUGGGGCGUGUUUGGUUGCAGUAGUGAACAGUAAUUGCAUUGCAUACACAUCUCAACCCAACCUGGUUGAGCAAAAAUAGUCCCAAAUGCGUCAUCUACAAAUUGUUUGGUUGCCUGCAUCUAGGGUCCUAGCAUUAGGUAAUACGCAAGUGCACUUUGUUUGGUUGCUUGCAUUGGCCCAAGCGGCAUAUGAACAUGGUGUUUGGUUGCAUGCAUGAGGUAUGAUUAAGAGCUAGCACUUGCACGUAGCACACAGGGUUAAGAGCUAGCAGAGGGAGGGGGAGAAGAAAUGCAGUGUGCGCUGGACAAUGGCGACUGCGGUGGAUAUUGGUCGUGGCGCCGUGUCCUACAUGACGAGCAUGGAGUCAUGGACGAGCGACCCCGUUGGCGGCACGGCGAGCGACACCGUCGACGAUCUAGUUGCGGUGCUCGCGCAAAGACAGUCGAUAGAGGAGGAGAAUGCAGUGCUCGCGCCAUGGUAUCGUCAGUGCACUAGACGAGAGAGGAGGCCGAGAUGAUCGACACCGGAAACGACUCCAGUGUAGUAGGGCGAGAGAGAGGAGGCCAAGAUGAUCGACCUUGUCGGCGCCGCGGCGAACUGCAAUGUGCACGGAGGCAGAGGACACAAGAAAGCAGUGUGCGCGCCAUUGCAGCGUCAGUGCAGUAGGAGGAUGACGGAGAGUAGGCCGAGAUGAGCGAUGCCGGAAACGACUCUAGUGUAGUAGGACGUGGGCAAGGAGAUCAAGGGGAAGGGCGUCGGCGUCGAGAGGGACGAAUAGGAGGGCUCUGAGCAGAGGACAGAGGAGCUCGACAUGGCGACGGUAGUGCAGUAGGCUACUGUUCAAAGAGAGAUGAAGCUACGGUCGUCGAAACCAGAAAUUUACAACACGGAUGUUGUGCGGAACUGCGAGAUUAGGCUGCUGGUCAAAGGAAAUUUCAAACGAUCAAUCAUGCGCGACAAAUCUGACAAAAUUCGUCCAGAAUAGCUUCAAACGGGAAGACGAAAUUAAGAACUUACGACCGACGAAACUACGAACCGAUCGCCUGAAUGGAACCGUAGCAUGGAGGUGCAUCUUUUUGUGUAGAGCUUACCUCGAAUCGAAGCACCGUUGUGUAGAUCGGGAGGGGCUAGGAAGAACAGAAUUAGAGAGAAGGUUACUGAAGGUAGGAGAAGAUAAGCAUGCAUAGGCUGCAUACCAGCUCGUAUCCUCCCAUCUCCCGUUGUGCAAGUGGCCCAUCACGUGCGCUCGCCUCAGCCUGACUCGCUAGAAACUGACAAUCUGAGCGUUUCCAGCGAGCUAGGCCCAAGUGUGCUUUAAGUUUCGUGCCAUGCGGGCCGCACAGUAAACGAGGCAACCAAACGGGCUCAAUCUUUCCUACGCGGGCCAGGCUGGGCCAUAUGCAAGCAACCAAACACGCUCAUGGUGUAUCUGUGGCUCGCGGGGUUCUUCUCAUCCCGGACGUGGAGGCUGAGUGGCAAUCCUGCCGUGUCCGGUGAGCACCACCGAGGCGUAUUGCGUGGCCAAAUACAGUCAGAAGUGGGUGCGCACCCGCUCGUCAUGCUGCACCCACCAGCAUGCGCAAGAACGGCGAGCUCUGCCUCGCCGUGCACCUCACCACACCCACACACCUCCGGACCAGCGGCCUGCCGGGCUCUCAAUUUUGCGAACGUUACCGCGCCACUCGAGCAUCACCGACGAGGACGAAGAAGGUGAACACAAGCGCCUCCGCAACAUCUACGAUGGCGUCCAUCGUCAACGUGUCGAAAGGCCGAGCUCCAGGACCCAGCGGCCAUCGUCGACGACCAGCCUAGGCAUGUAGGUUCGGCCGGUGGUGCCGGUGUUGAACUAUAUUGUCCACCUCCCUCCAUCAGUUCGGACUUUUGGAUGAGUUGGCUAGUGCAUGAACUCAAUAUGGUAUCCGAGCUAAGAGGUCUUGAGUUCAAGACCCUGCCAACGCAGUAUUAAAUAAAACGAUUAUGCGGCCUACAUCGAUCCCACGUCUAAGGACUAAAUUAGUCUAGACAUGAGGGGGUGUUGAAUAUAUUACCCACCUCCCUCCAUCAGUUCGGACUUUUGGACGAGUUGGCUGGAGCAUGAAUUCAAUAGCCGGCGGCGUGCUCCUAGCUGGUGCCUAGUCGGAUGAUGAAGUGGUUCUGGUGGCGGUAAUGCCAGAAGUCGUUUCGAUAUACGAUUUUAUCCAGUUCCUAUUUUAUUUAUUAUCCCUGAUCCGGAAGUCACCUUUUCUUUUCCUUGGACAGUACCUCCUAACAAGAUUGAUCUGUUUGGAUCUUGGUCCAUGAUGGCCUUUUUAUUGAUUUUGACGAUUGGAUCUCUCUAUGAAUGGAAAAGGGGUGCUUCGGAUCGGGAGUAACCACUUUUGAAAGGGUGAAGGGGGAGUAAAGUCUAAGCGACAUAUGGCACGAAAAGGAAAUCCGAUUUCGCACGCAUGCCACUUGCUCGAACAAAUGCCCACUAGAGAGAGUUGAGAGGAAGAGUAGAUAGGAUGAGUAGGAGAGAGAAAAAUUUCCACGUCAGCGAAGACUGGUCAAAACCAUGUUGAGUCAGCAGCAAUACUGGGUUUGCUGAGACAAGGGACUAAACUUAUCCGGGUUGAAGAGUUGAGGGACUAAGGUUUGUUGGUUUUGAAGUUGAGGUGCCAAAUUUAGAGUUUCGAAAAAGUUAAGGGAUGAAAAACAUACUUCUCUCUACUAGAAAUUAUCACAUUGAACAAAUUGGGCGCAAAUUGCUCGUGCUACUGAUUUGACGUGAAGAAAACGCAACGAUGAUUGGGAAGCCACAUGUCAAGGAUGUAUACAGUAUCAUGUGGUUGUUAUCGAGAGAGAGGACCAAGGGUUGUAAUGUUUAUGUCACGCUUAUUCUCAAUCGUUGUUUAGCCUCUUAUCUUUACGAUCAUGUUGAGGCGUUAUCCUGCCCUCUGACCAUCAGAUACUUGAAAGGUGCUUUAAUAUGUCUCCAACGUAUCUAUAAUUUUUUAUUGUUCCAUACUAUUAUAUUAUCUGUUUUGGAUGUUUUAUAUGCAUUAAUAUGCUAUUUUAUAUUAUUUUUUUGACUAACAUAUUAACCUAGAGCCCAGUGCUGGUUUCUAUUUUUUCCUUGUUUUUGAGUUUCACAGAAAAGGAAUACCAAACGGAGUCCAAACGGAAUGAAACCUUCACGAUGAUUUUUCUUGGACCAGAAGACAGCCAGGAGACAUGGAGAUGAAGUCGGAGGAGCCACGAGGCGGCCACAAGGACGGAGGGCGCGCCCAGGGGGGUAGGGCGGACCCCCCACCCUUGUAGGCCCCCCGUGACCCUCCUGACCUAAUUAUUUCACCUAUAUAUUCCCAAAUAUCUCCAAACCACCAAAGGCAUCCACGAAAACACUUUUCCACCGCCACAAACUUCUGUACCCGUGAGAUCCCAUCUAGGGACCUUUUCCGGCACCCUGUCGGAGGGGGAUCCGAUCACGCAGGGCUUCUACAUCAACUCUUUUGCCCUUCUGAUGAAGUGUGAGUAGUUUACCACAGACCUACGGGUCCAUAGCUAGUAGCUAGAUGGCUUCUUCUCUCUCUUUGAUUCUCAAUACCAUGUUCUCCUCGAUGUUCUUGGAGAUCUAUUCGAUGUAAUACUAUUUUGCGGUGUGUUUGCCGAGAUCCGAUGAAUUGUGGAUUUAUGAUCAGCUUAUCUAUGAAUAUUAUCUGAAUCUUCUCUGAAUUAUUUUAUGCAUGAUUUGAUAUCUUUGUAAUUCUCUUCGAACUAUCGGUUUGGUUGGCCAACUAGAUUGGUUUUUCUUGCAAUGGGAGAAGUGCUUAGAUUUGGGUUCAAUCUUGCGGUGUCCUUUCCAAGUGACAGUAGGGGCAGCAAGGCACAUAUUGUAUUGUUACCAUCGAGGAUAAAAAGAUGGGGUUUUCAUCAUAUUGCUUGAGUUAAUUCCUCUACAUGUCAUCUUACUUAAUGCGUUACCCUGUUCUUCAUGAACUUAAUACUCUAGAUGCAGGCAGGAGUCGGUCGAUGUGUAGUGUAAUAGUAGUAGAUGCAGAAUCAAUUCGGUCUACUUGACACGGACGUGAUGCCUAUAUUCAUGAUCAUUGCCUUAGAUAUCAUCAUAACUUUGUGCUUUUCUAUCAAUUGCUCGACAGUAAUUUGUUCAUCCGCCGUAUUAUUUGCUAUCUUGAGAGAAGCCUCUAGUGAAACCUAUGGCCCCGGGGUCUAUUUUCCAUCAUAUAAGUUUCCGAUCUACAAUAUUAGUUUCCGAUCUACUAUUUUUGCAAUCUCUUACUUUCCGAUCUAUAAACCAAAAAUACCAAAAAUAUUUACUUUACCGUUUAUCUAUCUCAAUCAGAUCUCACUUUUGCAAGUAACCGUGAAGGGAUUGACAACCCCUUUAUCGCGUUGGGUGCAAGUUGUCUGGUUUUUUGUCAAAGUAUUAGGUGAUUUCUGCGUUGUCUCCUACUGGAUUGAUACCUUGGUUCUCAAACUGAGGAAAAUACUUAUCUCUACGUUGCUGCAUCACUCUUUCCUCUUCAAGGGAAAAAUCAAUGCAAGCUCAAGAAGUAGCAUGCUUAUACGCCAGGAGGACGAAGCUAGCAGGUGGUAAACCAUGACGUGACUUGUGUGCCGAUUGACGAAGAACCCCAUGAGUCCACCAGUAAGCGUGUAUAAUGUUGGGAAACAUAGUAGAAAACAAAAAAAUCGUCCUACGAUCACCCAGGAACACUAUGAAGAUGUGAUAAACGGUUUGGAUCAGAUCGUUACAGACUCCGAGUUGUAGCGGAAGAAGAUGAGUCGGUGAAGAUCGUACUUGAAGUCCCUAGAACCAUAGAUGAACGAUCCCACGAACCGCCAACAAAUAGUCCCUCGAACGGAAGAUCGAAUGCAUGGCCUCUGUACGAGUUGCAAGCGCACAGUCUUAACAAUCCGGCAAUGCUUCGUCGUCCAGAGCUAAUCAUUGCCGAAGAAUUAGCCGGAGGAGAUUAGAACCACACUGGGCUUUCAAUUAUGAGGAUUAGAGGAUCUAGGCCUAGCUCUUAUUGAUCAACUAGGACCAACUAGAACUAGAGAAUUAGAGGAGGCUUCAAAACUUGUGUGUUCAAAAGUGCCCAAAACCUUUUGUAUAUAUAGGUUGGAGAGGAGAGAGGGGGGCGCCACACAAAGGGGGGAAAGUCUCUCUCCCUUGGCCGGCCAAGAGGAGGGGGAUUUCCCCUCUAAUUCGGCCUCCCCUUCUUUCCACAAGUGGGGGAAAGGGUGCCACCUCUAUUUGAGCCCAAGUGGCCCAAGUAGCUCUUCACCACUUGGCCUUUUAAGGCCUGUUGAUAUUAAAUUAAAUAUAAAAGUCUCGUAACUAUUAUUAGAGCCCUUUAAUAUUAAUUUAACAUUAUCAAAAAAUAUUUCAUCUAUAUAUAAUUCAUCCAGACACUUGCGAGGCCACUCACAACCUACUUGGCUGUAGAUGCCCUGAGCAGCCGUCGGGCUAUCAUUGCCAGUAUACAGUGCAUAGAACUUACUCCCUCCGUUCCUAAAUAUAAUUUUUUUUAAAGGUUUCAAAUGAGCUACAACAUACGGAUGUAUAUAGACAUAUUUUAGAGUGUAGAUUCAUUUAUUUUGCUUCGCAUGUAGUCCCUUGUUAAAAUCUCUAAAAAAGACUUAAAUUUGAGAACGGAGGGAGUAGAUUUUUAGCAUAAAAAUCGAGAGAUAUUUGUUGCCAUGGAUCGGAAGGUGAAAGGGAUGGGUGAUGGCUACUGCCAUUACUACCACAUCCGCCACCUAUUUCUUCUUGCUUUGCUUGCACGCCUGCAACACCAAUUCCUUUAGAUUCCACAUUCGUCUUUCAACCCCUAACGACGUUCCGCUACUCCAAGAUCAAGAGGAUGGUGAAGAUUCAUGCUCCUUAAAAGCAGACAGGAAGAAGGUUCUGGCUCAUCAAGGUAAGCGCUCUCUCUCUCUCUCUCUCUCUCUCUUCAAUUCUUCAUGUUCUUUUCCCCGUCAUGGCUGAUUUCUGGGUCCUUAUUCAGGGAGCUGCUUGCAGAAGCGAGGUUGUGGUGUUCUUGGAUGCGAUGGUGCCGUGGAGGAUGGAGGCGCGGCUGGCGGCGACGGUGCGGGCGGCCCUCCUCGGCUGGCUCUUCUUCUGCCUCACCGUCGCCAGCGACGUCGCACGCCAACUCAGGAGCAGCGAUCUCUCCGUCUAAGGCCGACCGCGUUCGGCAUGGCCGACGGCGAAGAACCGACUCUGCGUCUACAGAUUGAUUUACAGGAGGGUAACCAGAUGCGAUUUUCCAAAGUAGUGCUCGUCUUUAGAAGACGGCUGUCCUUAAGAGUUAAGACUCAUUGAGCAGAUGCUCCCUGUAAAUUUUCAACUAAAGCGUGUUGUUCCUUUGCUCAUUUUGGGGGGUCAGCAUGGUUACUUCCAAACUAGCAUCACUGACUACGACCUGAAAUAACUUUUUUUUUGGCGAAAUUACCACCUGAAAUACUUGAUAAAUCAUUACACCUUAACGGUUUUGUCAUUAGUUAACUAAACCCAUUAGGGGUCUAGCUCCACUUUUAAUCUGAAGUGUUGGUCCCAUGAUGAGAUGGCCUAGCAAAUAAUUAUUGUCGUCGGUCACCUCACAUGCUGUCAGGAGUCAGGAGCCGAAUUAUUUUAAUGUUUUUUUAUAAUGUCUGAGGAUAAUAGACUCACAAUAUCAGAUAUCUAGUUUGUGUCGAUUUGACUUUGGCAUACCGGAUUGAAGAGAACAAAUUUGAAAUUUUUUCCAUUACUCUUGUUCAAACAUAUGUUUUUAGUAUAAAAAAUGUAUGAUGUCAAUGCUUCGGCAUAACAAAUUUAGGCGUUGUUCGGUAUCCCUCCGCUCCACAACUCCGGGAGCAGAGUUGGCAGAGCUGCAGUUCAAAAUGGUGGAGUUGCAGUUCCCCCGCUCCGCGAAUUCCGGGAGUGGGUGAUAACCGAACAGGGCCUUAGUUCUCAGUAUAUUGACUUGUUAAUCAAGAAACUAUUUGAAAAAGAUUCACAAAAUCCUUAUUAAAAUGAAUACAUUAUAUAUGCGUUCUUACAAACUGUUAUGCAUGACUUUGACAACAUUAUAAAGUUGUAAAUAUAAAAUCUUAUAUUUGUUCACUUAUUUCCGUGGAAGAAUUGUUGUCAUCUAUGAUCGGUCUUCUAAAUAUGAACGAUACACAUCCUUCAGAUAACGGCCAUAUUGGUCGAUAUUUCGGUCUAUAUCGUAUGGUAUGUAUGAAAAUAAUACAAAAUGAUAUGCUAUAUCUAUAUCGUUAGGCCCCACAACUGAUAUAUCUGUCGUAUUUCAUGAGAUUUAGAAGCUUGGAGGAUAGUCGGUUUCAAAUAAGGAUACAUAGUUCGACGCCUAAAGGUCAGCAGGUGAUGCACCAUAAGUUCUACUGCACUAGAUAUUUAGUCCCUUUCGGUUCUAGAAACAUUUAAUAACAAACAUUUCUUUUGCAGAAUAAAAGUGAACCAUAGCCAAGAUAAUAAUUGACUCGAGCAUCAAUGCAAUAAUCCAAUGAAGUCCACAUCUUGAGAUAGACCUCACCAAGAAGAUUUUUGAUUAUUUAUUUCUUGUAUGUCCUCUCCACUUCGAGAUAAACAUAGAUAAGAUAUUAAAAAAAAUCUAAACUCAAUAAAUGUCAUGCUAAAUCCAGAGGCAAAUUUUUUUUUGGAACGCUCGUAUGCCUCAUGUUCCAUCUAGAUAGAUAAAUAAAUACAAAAACCACCCACAUGCUUAUUUUCCUUGUGUCUAGUUUGAUUAAGGAUGUAGUGUGUAUCUCUUUCAUUUGAUCAAUAUAAUCUCGUUUGACCCGCAAAGAAAAAGUAACAACCCGGCAUUUUGGCUCUCGGGUGCAUCUGCACCCGAGGUGAACAGUAAAUUCAUUUAAAAUAAUUAAAAAUCAAUAAAAAAAUGAAAAAAAAUGUGAUGCUAGAUGCUCAUGUGCGUGAAGUCCGUGCUAAAUUUCGUGUAGUUUGGUCAUUUCAGUAGCUCUCAUCCAAAAAAAUAAAUUUUAGGGUUGUAAGAAAGUUUAUUGUUUACGUACUGUUUUGACGGAUUUUAUCUUUUUUGCCAUGAGCUCCUCAGAUUUCCGAACAAGCUGAAAUUUGGCGUGAACAUCACGCAUUGGAACAUCUUCCACUCAAAAAAUAAUUUUUUUUGAAUUUACUGUUCACCUGGUGCAGAUGAGCCAGGGCAUCGAAUUGAAUAUCAGAUGAGCAUGGGCACCGAACUGAAUAUCCGGUAUAGUAAUGUUACUUUUGCUACCAAUGGUUAAAUAGCUGGCGAGUUUUGUGGGAUAAUUGGGCACGCCGCUUAGAUCAGUUCUAGCAGAGUCGUCAUAUGUGUAGUCACUAAAAUGCAUAUGAAAUGUGGUGCAUUGAAUUUUGGAGGCUAUCAAGGCGACUUGCAAAUUCAGAGCCACUGUAUUGUCUUCAAAAUAUUUUUAUUGUUAGUAGUUUUCAUUCCAUACUUGAAUUAAAUGUUACAUAACAAUUCAAAAGCAACCAUGUUUUUUAAACAAGUUGCAUGAACAAAAGAUAAAACAUCAUGCAUAUUCAACCGAAUGUACAAAUCACGUGUCAUUGGCUCCUCCUCUAGUGUUUGCACCAUCCCCUCCUCCGUCAUGUGCACCUUCUCCUCCUCGGGUGUGUUGGGCGCUCCGUGCCAUCCUAGAAUGCAUGAUCGUCGCUUGAGUGAACUUGCAAAAUAAUAUUGACACUGGAUCCAUGAUAUUGCGGUCCAACAUCACCAACCGGUUCUCCUCGGUUAUCUUGUCGUGCAUCAACCAGCCAUCCUCAAGUUUAAGCCUAUGCACCUCCAUCUCUUCCUUGCAUCAUGUACUUGCUUGCAUAGCAUCCCACCUCAUCCUCUUCUCUUGCAGCUUCCUCUCCUCCAUAUUCAACUUUUCUUGCUUUCUCUUGUCUGCGUACUCAUGCCUUGACUUCAUCAACUCGGCGAUCUUGUUUUUCAUUACCUCCGCCGCUCGUUGUAUCUUGAGCAUCUCCUUCAAUUGCUUCCUUCCGUCAGGUCGACCCACGCUAGACGCCAAACUGGGUCUUUAGCCACCCUUUCCUCUCCAUCACCAGACGUGAGAGAUUUGAGGGUAUGGUUUGAUUUAUGCCCAAGGUGUUUCCUUGAGGUGCCUCCGAUAGUUUGCACUCGUUUGAUCUUUGUUGACGACCACAUCAAGAGUGAUGUCUUGCCAUGCCCUCACAGGAGCAACAUCCUCUUUCGUGGUGUAGUUUGUGGUCUGAAUUGCUUUCUUCCUUGACGAACCAGAGGGUUGAAAUUGAUCCAGUUCAACCUAUUUGCCCUCCACAUGCAAUUGAUCAAAGUGACCCACCGAUUCCCCAUCAAGAACGAACUAUAGGUCGCAAUUGAAUCAUCCAUCGUUACUAAACGUCGAUCCUCCCAAAUGCACAAAUUCAUUACUACACACACAUACUGCACAAUUGCCACCAUUCUUCCAUCAUCACGUUGCAGUUAGUCAGAACAGUCUAAAGAGAAGGAAGGUUUUUUUUACCCCAUCGGUAAAUCUCCGAGUGCAACGUAGUGGAUACGCGCCCGAGUUUCGCCCUCCCUGGGAACAAAGGGGAGAGGGGGGACGCGGGACGACCCCGACGCACUUGCCUUCUUCCUUCGAUUCUUCACCGUGGAGCAUGUGGCGGAGGCCGACGCCCGGAGUUAACGCAUUAGUGGCAGCAUAGGGUUUGUCACUUUUGCACCCCAUUGAUGACAGGGUGGAGAAAGUGCUGGCCUAGGCGGUGGCAGGUUGUCGUCGAGGCCGGCGGAGGAGCGGGAAUCGCCCAGGAGGAGGAGGAUUCCAUAACGUUGACAUCAUCUGUGGGGUUGUGGGCGUCCGGAGACGGUGCCACAACGAGGGAGGAGUGUUGCGGCGAGAAGAGGAGCGGGGGGCGAAAUGUCACUCGCGCCAAACCGUUUUCCAAAUGGAGUGUGCUCCACAGAUCUCACCACAGCCUUCAAAUAUGGAGGGUCACGACUCGAUUUGAAGCGAUCCCCAACAUUUAUGCCACUGAAGCGAAGGAGGCGAUUCUGCUAGACCCGCUUUUUUCAACCAAAAUCGCCUGGCGUUCCUGCGUUCUGUCUCAUCUCCUCUCUUGUGUUUCUACCAUCUCUUGUUGAGAUAAGAGCCCGUCCCCUGUGGCUAAGCAUCUCCAUCGCGGACACUUGCGAGUCCACUCCCGGAAUUUCUUUGGCAGCGUACACUGUACAGCGCCUAGAGCUUUGAUGUUUUAGCAUGGAAUAAAAAUCGAGAGAUAUCUGUUGCCAAUGGAUUGGACGGUGAAAGGGGUGGGCUAGCUACCAUCAUCACCGGCCACCUGUUUCUUCUCUGUUGCUUUACUUGCACGGCUGCAACACCAACUCCUUCAGCUUUCACUUUCGGCCUAUAUGACGCUCUUCUACUCCAAGCAACAGGUCGGUCAAGAUUCGUGCCCGUUAAAAGCAGACAGGAAGGAAGAAGGCUCCGCCUCAUCAAGGUAAGCUCUAAUCCCUUCAACUCUUCGUCCUCUUUUCCCCACUUGGAUUUCUGCCUUCUUCAACUAUUCAUCCUCUUCUCUCCGUUGGGAUUUCUGCGUCUUUAUUCAGUGAGGGGGUGCCUCUGAGUUGGAUGCCAUGGUGCCGUGGAGGCUGGAGGCCCGCCUGGCGGAGACGGUGAGGGCGGCGCUCCUCGGCUGGCUCUUCUUCUGCAUCACCGUCGCCAGCGAUGUCGCACAUGCGCUCAGAAGCAGCGAUCUCUCCAUCUAAGACCGGCCACGUUCGACAUGGCCAAGACCGACUCUGUGCCUACAAAGUGGCAGUUCAUUGGGCGCACAGGAAGAAAAUUUAUUUACAGCAGUGUAACCAGUCAGUGAGUUCAUCCAUGAGAGAAUGAGUUCGAUGUAAAGGUGAAAUAUUCAUAUAGAUUAGAUGUAAAAUCUUGUGUCAAACAGAGAAAUACUGGCUAUUUGCUCAAAGUGGCCUGACUUUCAAACAAAAGGUAGCAUAGAUAGCGCUGGUGCAACUUAGUAACUAACAAUAUGGCUGGUGCAUCGGACGAACUAAGGACAAAAUUCCGAUAAAUAGCUUUCGCGAGGUGGAGCGGUAUGUACGGAUUCUACUGGUCAUCAGGCAGGAGGUUCCGACUUAUCUGCACUCGAGUGCUAUCACCGCCUUGAUGAUUUCUUGAAAGACCUCGGUUUCUGUCGGUGGCCUCUUGGAGCCUCCUCUUCUUCAUCAUCGUCGUCCUCCGCCACCUUCCUUCUCUUCUUGUGACCACCGUCCUCCCUCAGUUUCUGCCGAAUAAUAACAAAAUGGUGAUUUUAGUAUCACUGCAGCAGUCAUAGCACUUAUGGAGACAAUUAUGGGCACUUCAAAAUUGAUUGCUCCGCCAAGUACAUACCGUCAGUGCAAUCCUCUUUGAAUCUGAUAUAUGCUCACGAAGUAUCAGGAUUUCAUCCAUAUCUACCUUCCGGUCAGGAAUUUCCCUUCCUGCGAAAAUAGGGGACGGCUUCAGAAAGAAAUCUCCAGUUAUGUGUUGCCACGAGACAAGCAACGAGGAAAACUAUUACCAAGGAGCUGCUCAAUCAGCUUAAACCACUCAGCCUCAUACUGAUUCACAAAAGAGACGGCAUAUCCCGAUUGCCCUGCACGCGCAGUCCUACCAACCCGAUGGACAUAAUCCUGCAUUUGGUGCAGCAUAAUUUCUAAGAUCAGUGACAAAAUAUAAAUGCACGAUCUUCUCAAUAAUAAAAGCAAUAUACGAUGAUCGGCAACAGGUACUGAAGUAAACAAGGUAGAAAACCUUAGAAUUCAUUGGAAUAUCAUAAUUCAUAACCACAUCAACUCCUUGAAUGUCAAGACCACGACUCGCCACGUCGGUGCAGAUAAGGAUGUUGAAAUCUUUUGCUUUGAACUUGUUUAAAGCACCUAGUCUUUUGUCCUGAUAAAGAGAAGAUUUAAGAUAAUUAUUUGCCUUGGGAAGUAUUAUUUAUGUUAAGAAAACUAACAUGUCCAUAAUGGAGCUCACUUAUACGGCCUCAAAAGGCUGCAUAACUGAGGCCCUGUUUGGUUCGGCUGUGGAUUUCUAAAAGCAGCUGUGAAAAAUCUGCUGUGGAAAAACAGCUGUGGAAAAUCUGAUGUGAAAAAGAUGUAGGCCAUUUGGCAAACCAGCUGAUACAGCUUUUUCAGAUUUUGGCCCGCAGCGGAAUCAGAUUUUGGAAAGCACGUCCUGGGCUGCUUCCGCUUUUGGUUCAGAUUUUGGCAGCGGAUUUCUGGAAUCGGAUUCUGCUGGGUUCGCCCUUUGGUUCAGAUUCUGCUGCGCAGCAGCGGAAUCCGUCGAUAAAAGCUGAACCAAACAGGGCCUUUAUGGGGAAAUCAAAUACUUUUGUCUGUCUGAUAGAAAAGUUACAGAAGUAAACCUGACUCAUCUGGCCACUGAUAGAGAGAGCUUUAAAACCAAGAUUCCUUAAAGUGAGAGCAAGGAGUCUUGUUGACUCGCAGGUCCGCACGAAGAUCAUGAUCAUGCUCCCUGGCAACUCAUUCAGAACAUGAACAAGAUAACAAUCCUGAAAUAGAAAAUGGCGAAAGAACAACAAAAGGGAAAUCAGUACGCGAGCCACUGUUAGUAAAUAGAGAAAUAUAAUCUCAAAGCAGAACAUGCAUGUGAUUAAAACUAAUCUCCUGAAGUCCAAGGGUAUAGGCAUGGGCAUUCUUUAUCAGGAUUGUUUAUUAAAUGUAGAGUAGAAUCUUAGUCAAAUGGUUUCAUCAACACAGGCUUCAAUCAGUACUGCUAAUAUCAAAUGUAUAGAAGUCCAAAUUCUCUGUUCAAAAAAAGUCCAACAAACAACAAGAUAAUGCAGGCCUACAUUUUAUCACACAAGUUACAUGGGCACAGAACUACAGGUCCUGAUAUUGAGGUACAGAAACGGAUUUCGUCACUUCUUAAAAUUACAUUAUUAUAUUAAGAAGUACAAGAAUUAACCUUGUAAUCUGCAGGAACGAAAUACCACUCUUGUUUAAGUGUGUCCACUGUAGAAUAUUUGGAGGAUACUUCCACCUGGUCCCAAAAAAAGUUCCUCUUAUAUUAGUAAGAGAAAGAAGGCGGCCCAAAAGGUCCUCUUCUAUUGACGCUUUGCUGCUUAUCGAAUGCCUAAAAUAGAAGAAUGGCUUUACCUUAACAGGGUUUCUGAGACAAGCACGUUGCAGUUUGCUUACCUGCAAAGAAAACUCAUAAGCUGUUCUGCAUUCAGGCUAACAAAAAUGUAUGUGUAGCAAAGCUGUGAAGCACCAAUUAGAAAAUUAAGGCUAUUCAUGACUAGAAGCAUGAUUGUUGCAGCUUGGAAGAGCAUAUUGAAGCAGUACUCCUAGAAAUACAAAAUGAUGCACAGUUCACCAGAAUCAAUGCAAUUAUAUGACAAACUGUCAAUCUGUGCACUAUUUCUCAAGACUUUAUAGUGCAAUCACCAAACAAAGUGGUAAACAAGGCCACAUCAAUCUGACAAACACAACAAUGGCAACUGUUGAUGUUUUAGUCCUUUUGGCUCACACAAAACUGCCUGAACCACCAACCUUUUUGGUCAUUGUGGCUGAAAAAAGGUAAGUUCUCCUUUCUUUAGGAAUGACCUUCAGAAUAUCAUCAAGUGAUUCCUUGAACUCCAAAUUAAGUAAUUUAUCAGCUUCAUCAAGUACCUAGAAACCAAGAAGAUUGAGGACAUGUCAAAACAAAAGCAUCUCAGUUUAAACAAGCUGGUAUCCUCCGUCCAAAUUGUGGAGGUAUGAGCUAGUUAUGUAAAGAAAUAGUUGACAAUGAAGGCUCCGAACAGUAUAAUCAACACAUAUUUAUGAUAAGUAACUAUAGCACAUUUGCAACAAUUUACAACUAAGAAACUAUUACAACAACCAGUCAAGCAAUGGAAAACAACUACUGAUUCAUUUAAGUAUUUCUAGUUCACAACACACAAGCUAGGGUGGUUCAGCUUGACAAAACAAUCUUUAAGUAAUUAAAAUGAAAAGAUAUCUUAUUAUAUUAGUUAGCUUAACACUUCAGGGGAACACUGCCUGGAAAAUGUAAGUUUCCACUUUAACAGGUGAGGUAGGAUUUGUGAGAAGCCACUUCUCUAUAUUGCACAUUACUCCUUUCUUUAAUGCAGGUUCUAUCUGUAACAACCAAACAUUUUCCUGACAUCCAACAAUCAGAAUGGUCUAGGCAUAAAUGAAAAAGCAGGAUGAUGUACAAAUUAAAAGAUGAGUACUUGCAAAGAAUGUGUACCAGGUAUUUCACUUUAGUUAGGCUAAAACCUUUUGUAUCUUUCAAAUGGUCCAAAAGACGGCCAGGAGUUCCAACCUGCAUUUUAGAGGAGAUGAUACAUAAAACAAGCUAAGUCCUGAUAAAGACAGUUUUCAAAUACCAUGGAAGAGAACAAAAGUGUUCUUUCUCUGCUUCAACUGGUGUAUGCAAUGGAAGGUCUUGGUCUUAUCUUGUAUACCUAAGUCCCAUGUCUUCUAGACUCUAGAAGCACUUAUAUAUGCUAAAUUCAGUGAAAUGGAGAGUCUUGGGUCUUACUACCUCUGUAUCAAAAUACAAGACGUUUUUAAAGUUCAAAAACGUCUUAUAUUUUGAUACGGAGGAGUACAAGGAUGCGCUUGUCACCACAGUGGCUUUCCAAAUUAAAAGCACUUAUAUUACUCCCUCUCUCAAAAUAUAGUGCAUAUAGAUAUUUGUUAAUACUUUUUCCUGAAAACUUGAUAAAACUUUGACUUGGGACAAAACCUAUAAUUCUAAAUGCACUUUGUUUCGAAUGGAGUAUAUUAACUUCAGGUAUAUUAUGAUCAGUAAAUCCCUCAAGAGCCUUCACAAACAGAAUUACUAGAAAUGGAAGUUAAGGGGGCAUUAAAAGGCUCGAUAAGUUGGCUAAUUGGAGAACCGGAGAAGACACAGGUUGGCCAAAACGGCAUUUCUUAAGUCCAAAAAGAAUUAGUAUAUGCUAAUACUGAUGCUAGAACUUUUCCACUUUGGGAUUUAAACGGGCAUUGUUGAUGGUUGAGUGUUGAUUUUAAUCACAUGCCUCACUUACAAUUUCAAAGCACAAAGGAUCCAUAACCUAUAUUGUCUUAGGUUAGGAUUGGGUAGAGGAUACUCACCACAAUAUGUGGACGUUUUGCAAUGGAUAACACUUGCUGCAUCCGGUCAACUCCUCCAACAAGCUGGAAAAGGGAAAAUAUCUCAACUGAAAAUGAUUCACGUAACUCAAUAGUCUCAUAACUGGUGAUGAAUACUUGAUUUGAGUAGGUAAUAGCAUGGUCACCAAGAGACAUUUUAAUGCAAUAGAAGAUAGAAAAUUUCAUCGAAUUAUACUGAGCAGAAGUAAUCAGAGGAGAAAGGUCAUCAACAAAAAUUGAAAUUGUCGAUAUGGGCUCGUAUAACAACAAACUUAUUCAAUUUAGUUAUGGUCUUUAAACAUUUAGAUAUAACCAUGCUAUGCUAUGCUUUGGCUUCACCACAUUGAAAUAGGCUACAUGCACUAAAAAUUCUAACAGCGCCCCGACAUUACUCCUCUUUGCGUUAUGCCCGCAAGCCAACCAAAGGGAGUAGCUAGCAAUUCACAACCAGCAAUUACAACAACUUGUUAAUCGAAACUAUGGCCCGCGCAAGAACACAAGCAUAUUAAAGUAUGCACAUCCAAUUGGUUGUCGAAAAUAAUUCAUAUCAGAGCUAAAUAAACAGUCAAUUGUAUCAACACCACUUACCACUGAGCAAACCAAGCCGAUAGCUGACCCUAACGCCUCAAACUGCUCCGCAAUCUGAAUCGCCAGCUCCCUGAACCACCACAGCAGUACGGUAAGCUUCCACACAAGCUACCGAUAAGAAAAUACGUCCCAGGAAGGAGAGGGGGGAAAUGGUUACCUCGUGGGCGACAUGAUGCAGGCGAAGAAGGGCUGGCGGUGCUCGAGCAGCGCCUGGAUGAUGGGCAGCGCGAACGCGCCCGUCUUCCCCGACCCCGUCUGCCCCAGCCCAAUCACGUCCCUCCCUGCACGCAGGACCGAGCUCAGAAUCAACGACCUGGACCAUCACAACUGCACACAUAAUGGCCGGCGGCGGCGCUGGUAGUACCUUGGAGGGCGUGGGGGAUGGCCCCCGCCUGGAUCUUGGUGGGCUGCUUCCACCCCAUGGCGUCGCAGGCCUCCACCAGCUCGCGGCAGACGCCCAGCUCGGCGAACGUUGAGGCCUCGGCGGCCGGCUCCGGCUCCGGCUCCGGCUGCUGGGCCUCGCCGCCCCCGGCGACCGCCUUGUCCGCCACCGCCAUGGCUGCGAGAGGAGGGAGUGGAGUCUUCUGUGCGCGCGUGGGCGAAUACGACGGCGGCGGCGGCGGCGGCGGCGGCGUGGGUUUGCUCUGCUUGGCGUGGCGCGCGGAGGCUGCUGGUUGUAUGACGGGAGACAGAACUUGGCGCACACGGCCGCGGGGUCGGCGCGGCGGCAUAAACCCUAGCGGAUGAAGCGGAGGGGAAAAUCUCGUGGGCCGGCAUGCUCGGCGAGCCACUUGGAGCGGCCUCGGUCCGGGAAGAGCCCAUUUCAAAUACUCCGUUUUUAUUUACUUCGCAUAUUAGCUUUGUAUCAAGUUUGGCUCAAAUACCACAUGGUAUGUGUGGUAAGCAAUUUCAUAUUUGAAAUGAUGCUGUUGAGUUAUGAGGCUUUAUUUAAGUGGUGAUCUAGAUAAUAGAGAAUGGAAGUAGAUGAAAAAUACAAAAUCAAAAAAAAAGUUUGGCUCAAAAAAAACUUUGAUCAAGUUUAUAAAGAAUAUAUUAUCCACAAUACCAAAUCAAUAAUUUUAAAAUCAUCAUUGAAUAUAUUUUUAUAUCAUAUAUAUUUGUUAUUAGUCGCGUAGCCAGCCCAACAUCACGUCCCAGACCAACCUCAAUGGUACAAUAUGGAACAGUACAAAUUUUAACAAUGUAUCUGAUGCAAACGAUGAGCAAACUUGCUGCCAUGCCCGGAGCCGCCCCUGUUGCCCGGGGCUUGGCUACGCCAGUGUUCGUCACUGUGAAAGUUUAGAUUGUUUUCCAUAAAUUUUGAUCAAAUUUUAUAAAGUUUGACUUAGAUCAAAACUAAUAUGGGAAGUAAAUAAAAACGGAGGGAGUAUUACACUUAGGUGCUCCUAUUCUUCGAGAGCAACUAAUUGGAGGGUACCUUCUUGGGGAACCUAGGGGUCAUUUUUGGUGGACUGGGAGCGCGCAGGCUCGCACUCCCUCGGGAUUUCGGUGUUUUUCUCAUUCAUGUGUUUUUGGAUUUAUUUAUUUAUUUAUUUGCUUUUCCGCUUUUUUUUUGUUUUCCUUAGGUUUUUUAUAGAAGCAGUGCUUUUCGCAAGAAGUACAACAUGUGUUUUGCGACAAGCACAAUUGUGAUUCCACGAGAAGUAUAACAUGUGCUUCCCGAAAAGGAAAAUGCAUAGACGUGUUUCACAAAAAGGGAAAAACACAGUCAGUACUUUCAUGAGAAGCACAAUUAUGCUUCAUGAAAAGGGAAGAACACAGUUGUGCUUUCUAAAAAAGUGAAAGGCAUAGUACGUGCUUCCCGAAAAGGAAAAAGCACAAUUGUGCUUCUAGGUUCCGGUUUUUUUUUGGGUUUUCAUUUUUCUGUUUUUCCCAGAUUUUAGUAUUUUUUUUUGUUUGUUGGAUUUUUGUGUUUUUUCAUUUUCAGGUUUUUGGGGAAAGAAAAAGUUCUUAGAAACUUAUUAACAUAGGAUCUAGUUGCGAAGAUCUCGACGCGAGGGAUCCAACAGUGAAAAAGGUUCAUGAUUUGAAGCAUGGUUCAAGAGAUAAAACGUUAUGAAAAAACGAAUCUAAAGAAACUUUCAGACAGUGACAAAUGACGCGCAUGCAGUGUGCCACUUGUUAUCACCAUGCAAGAUGGGAGUGACCUCUCCAAGGAGUGCCCUCUAACCGAUGAUCUCGCUAUUCUUCUUCCCCAAUGGACGGUAGGCCUGCCACCCAUGUAGCACUAUGUGCGCUCGAGAGGAACGGUUUUUAGCGUUUUUCAUUUCAGCCAUUUUUUUAUUUUGGUUGUUCAAAAAAAUCAUUAAUUAGUAUAUGUUUGUUAGUUUUAAAUAUUAUUUAGAAAUUUAAAAAUGUAUUUAAAAAAAGAAAAAAUAUUCAAGGAUUUUAAAAUUUUCAUGAGUAUAAAAUGAUGUUUCAUGAAUUUUAAGAUGAAAACAAAAAAGAGAAAAAAAAAAGAAAGGAAAAGACAAAAAGAGAAAAAACAGGUAUAAACCAUCGAGAAAAGGCAGAAAAAUCACGCCUUGUAGAAAACCGUUGAUGAACCAAAAAAACAAAAGAAUAAUUCGCGUAGGCGCACGGUGUGAGGCGAAGAAUCGCUAAGGCCCGAGCACGUCCGGGGUGCAGGGGUAGAAAAGUUGAUCUAAAUUUAUUGUGGCAGCUACCCAUUCAAUGUACAAGAAUUUAAAUUUACUCCCUCCGUUCCAAAAUAAAUGUUAUGGCUUUGGUUCAAAUUUGAACAAAUGGAUAGAGUAGAACCGAAGGUUCAUAAUGUAAAAAUAUAUAGCUUCUCGAAUUUUAUUUUAUUUUAAAAAAUUGUUGGAAUAAACACUUCAGUCAGUUUGGCAUACAGAGUGUACCAAAAACCGGAAAUUCGCAGUAAUUUUACACUUGCGGUUUCUCCUGAUUUGCUAAGCCUUGGUGUACCCGUCCACCACACCAUCUGUAACAGUUUGGGCACAUUCUUCCGCCCAAGUCCGUCAGCGUAGGCGACGAGCAGUAGCAGCAGCACGAAGGAGAAUGAUUGAGAAUGGUCAAUGAUAACUGGCCUAAAUCGCGACUCGAUACUGUGCCCCAAUUAAUCCUUAUCGUCUCCUUGCUGCUGUCUCCUCCCAAGUCCGAAUCGUUCGCUGUUGCGAGGGGGACGGCCAUCCGGACCCCUGUCUCCUUGUCCAGCGUCAGGUAGCCAUGACGCGGACCACUGAGCAGUAGGACGGAGGCUGAAGCCUACAGUCCACCGAACGGAUAACAGCCCAGUGCGACAUGCAUGCAUGCAUGCAUGGAGCACACCAUGCAUGAUUGUGCCACGAGAGCUAUGUAUGGGUAAACUUAGCCCCACUGAUUAGUUAGCACAUCGGUGGCUGCACUUUUAUAUGUUGUCCGGUUUACUCGUCUGUGAGUCGUCCAUCAUAUCUUGUCGUGUGUAUAUAUAGCACAGCUCAAAAAAAGUUGUAACUGAAUUAUGUGCGCCGGCCGGUGAGAUGACAGUAACAGGAGUAACAUGAUAUAUAGCUCGCGUUCUUUGAAGAGGUAGUAGCGGCCAAUUAGUGAGCGGGUUAGGUUUCCUCCUCAGUCCUCGCCAUCAGUCUGUCGUCCCUCAGGAACGGUUAGCCGUGCAGAUGUACAUGGAGUGUGUGUACUUUAGCCGAAGCUGAACAAUGAUUGUUGCUUGCUUAAUUAUCGUCUAAAAAGGCUGAAUGUUAGUAGUGGUGAGUAGGAGUAGCUUGUGUAAAAUGCAUUACCUACCACUAGGCACUAGCACCGCGGCGUUGAGUGGAACUGGCGACGUGCGAUCCAGACUCCAGAGCCUCGAUGUCUUUGGUCUCCGUGGCUGGCUUUACUUACAAGGCAUGCUAAGCCUCUCUGUGUUUGUGUGUGUGUGUGGCUUGCUCUUUUCGUAAGGCGUAAGCCAUGCUUUUCUUCUCCGAAGCCUGCAAGACAUCACCAUCGACUAUUUACUCGUGUGUUAGACAAUGGAAGGAAGAUUAACCAUGCAGUUAUUUUGUAAGAGAGAUGUAAUCGGAAGGUUUUUGCUCCUUCAGCAAAUUAUAAGCUUUUUCUCUUUCUCUUUCCAGACCGGAGUUUAUAACUCUGACGGCAAGGGGAAGAUAAUGUGGGUGGAAACCAUUGUCAGCUCUCACGGAUAAAGUCUCUUACCAUGGACAGUGAUCCGUGAACCUAUCAUCGUCACGGCCUGCGUGCGUUCUACGUUGACUAUAUUGUCAACUCUCAUCACAGCUUGCGUGCGUUUUACAGUACGUUUUUUCUUUUCUUACUAGGGCUACGCCUGCCUGAACUUUAUUAUGACCUCAAAAUCAUAAAGGUUAAGAAGUUACAGCAAGGCGGCAAGGUGGGUGGGUGGAUAGAGAAGAACAAAAGAUAGGAUCACACUAGAUUCUCCAAGAAGAGAACUGCAUUUGUAAAUGUUUACGCCUGCUUUAGUAGUAAAAAAAAAUACGUACUAGAGACGUCGAUGUAUCGGAGGGCCGGCGUAUUGGAAAAGUCGCGCGAGCGCCACCCCGCGUGGAACGCCCGAGCAGGAGACCACUACGGCGAUGCUAUGCAGAAAGCCGUCGUUGUCAGUGCGUGUGGCCCGUUCUUCUCGCUAUCGUCUGAAGAACACACUUCCCACGUUCAGGCUUCAGAGAUAUUCCCUUUCGUUAGUAAAAGUUGCUGGCUCACCACGUAUGUAUUCCUCCGACUUGGUCUCAACGGCAUCAGGACCUUUCACAGUCUGCAUUUCUUUUUUGGAAUUCAGAAUAAAAUCCAUGAAACUGCUGUUUUUUAACCGGAUCGAAUAUUUAUAUUCAGCUGUUGUACAUUAAGAAGGUUUUUUUCCCCUUCAAAGAGAGGGUAAACCCCUAACCUCUGCAUCGAGCAAUACUACAUGGUACCGGUGACCGGUGCCGUAUUUUUUCUGAGGGGGCCAUAAUAUUAUUUCCUUUCACAUAAAGACGGCAAAAUGAACAAGACUACUGCUCACCUGCCAUCUCCCCAAUCUCCAGCUGCAAAUUGUUCAGCAUGGAACCCAUAUAUAACCAGCAAAUCUUCAGUCGUCCUAAACUCUAAACAGUGUUCUUCAUUCAUUCAUCAAGAACAGCGAUGCAUGACAGAUUACCGGGGGCCCAAGAGGCCGAGACAUAACUCGGGUGAGUUGGACGCUUGGGUCCACGAUCUUCCAGGACCAUGCAUGCCCACUGCGCACUGGGUUGAGGUGCCGGGCAUCUACUGUUCUGCAUUGAACUGAACUUCCCAUGCAUGCUCCCUAGUUCCCAGAGCUUCAGCGACACUUGCCACUGUGUAUGAUAGCAGUACAUGUUUUUCCAACUGCCGACACAGUGCAAGCACCAACGAGAAAUGGACAAUGAGAGCUGAACCAUGAACAAUCAUGUGCAUGCAUGCCACUAAAAGGUGUCUAGCCAAUGUUUAGGCAUUCCAACGUAUGGCAAUCUCAGAACUUGGCCAAAAGUUGGCAGCUUUUAUAAAGGUUUAUUUGGUAAUCAACCGGUUGUUAGCCAAUUUGGUAGCAUUUCCAAACAUGGGCAAGCAUCAAACCAAGCAAAGCUUCAGAUCUCUUUCCCCUCCCUAGCAGAGAAUCAUUGUUGAGCCCCUGUUUUUGAGUAAUUGCCUAAUUAGCCUCCGCCUGUUUUGAGGUUACGAUGGGUUACGAACUUGCAAUUGUCGGUACUACAAUAAUGCCAUGUUUUUACCAACUAAAAAAACAAACAUGUGUUUACGUGGUGAUUGAAUUAAAAUGCGAAAAGUUGGAGAAAAUAAACUUAUGACAACAAAAUUUAUCAAAGACAAUUCAGCAUCCACCAGUCUGCCUUGAAUCUUGAUAUACCAACCAAUAAAUUUCAGGAAAAUAACUAAUAUAUCUCGAUCAUCAACUGGUAUAAAUGUGCACAUGUCCUAAAAUGUGUUGGAAAUAAGCCAAUAAGUAAUGACCCUACUUAGUAAGCAUUAUGGGCAAACAUGGUUUGGAAAUAACUAAUGAUUCUAAAUCUUUGUUCCUUUUCCUGUCCUACUGAAAACCACGUUCUACAUUAAUUCAAUCAAAGCAAAUCUUACAAAUCCAUGUCAUGCAUUAAAUCAAUCAAAUUAAAUCUUACCAAAAACCUCAACCAAAUCGAACAUUCCUUGCCUUUUCUACCCAUACGCAAUCAGAUUAAUCCUUACGACAACAUAAACUAAAACAAUUAUUACCAAAAUGAAGAAUAUGGUGUGUAAGGUAUAUGUCAGACACGAUUUUUUUUUUUGCGGGGAAUAUGUCAGACACGAUUGGUGUUGAACCAUUAAAAUAUGCAUGUCCCGUUGCAACGCAUUGGAAAUUGGCUAGUUAUUAGUGAACAGAGCGGAUGACAAUGGGUAGGGUAUGGGGCGGGUAGAGCAAUACCAUACCCAUAUCCAUGUAGUCAAUGGGUACAAAAUUCUAACAAAUACGUGGGUAAAAUUGUCAUCCUUAUUCAGGAUUGUACCUAAACAAUUUAUAACAUUUACUUAAAACUUUAUGUGGAAAUUCAAUGUCCUAAAAUAGAGAUAUAUCUAAUAACCGCCUUGUGGAAAAUGAAGAAAACUAUACUAUUCUAGUAUGCAUGUACAUGUGGCAAUGAGUAACAAGACCCAUUACAAAUGACCGAACCUCUACAAUUAAAAGGGGAGUUGGUAGGUUCGCCUCACCUCCUCCCCCUGUUUUUUCCUUCCCACACACCCUUACCACUUUGGUUUUUUGUUGAUUUUUUUGAUAAUCUCAACCGAUGCAACACACAAAGAACAACGUAAAUAGAGUAAUUUGGAAUAAUAUAAACUAACCCGGCACUUUCCCAAAACCACGUCCUACUCAGUCAAAUCAGAUCAAAUCUUACUAAAAUCUCAACUAAAUCAAAACUUUCAUUGCGUUCCCCUACACACACCGAAAUCAAAUCAAAUCUUAUAAGAAUCUCAAGUAAAUCAAAAAUUUAUUGUCUUCCCCUACCCAUAGUCAAAUCAAAUUAAAUCUUACCAAAAUCUAGAAUACGAUGAGUAUGAAAGAAUAGGUAGUCAUAUAAUUAAAAUAAGUAAAAUAUGUUUUUUGUAGGUAUGGUAAUUCACCACAAUGUCAAAUCUAAAUGGACUAUUCACGUAAUGUAAGAGCAUUUUUUUCGGUCAAUAUAAGAGCGUUUUUACACUACUAUAAUGUCAAAAACGCUUUCAUAUUAUAGGUCGGGAAAUAGUAGCUAAUUGUCCAUGCUCUGUCCCUAUCAAGUCCUCCAAAACGAUCUGCCCCAGUCAAAACCUCCUGAACUGAAACGAACAGAGAGCCGUGUGCUACUUCUCCUAUUUGCGCUGUCAACAGAACAUGGUUCACACAAAAUAGAGAAAAAGUAAAAGUUAGGGUGAAGAAAAUGACAGGCUCUCGUUGAGGGCGAGCACAACAAACGUUCAAGAACCUUCCUUUCCAGUUGCAAAAAUCACAAGUCCAUUCCCACCGGUAAUAACUGCCACACCGGGACAAAUACUAGCCAGCCAGAGCUAGCCACUCAGUCUACUCACAAAGUAUAGCAAGUAGCAACCACAAAAACUAAUGACCAAAUAAACAUAAAAUGCUUCCAAACUAAGCAAAGAAAUGCGCAAAAAUGCUUAUUUUGGUCAUCGCCCGCUGGUUCCAACUGGAAACGCCCUCUGUCUCUCAAUUAGUUGCUGGUUUUUCUGCAGAAAUUAGUUGCUAAAUUGGCUGUGCGUGCCAUUUUUGCUCGCAAGAUUUAGUUGGUGAAUUCGUAGCUGAGUUGUUUUUGACACACCCAGCAUCAAGAAGAGGAGGAGAACCAAAGUAAAAGCAACGAGGAAACUUCCACCGGGAGAAGAAAAGAAAAGAGUAAUAUAUAUAUACGCCACCACUAAGUAAACCCCACCUCGAUCCACCUUCCGGCGAAACCAAUUCAUUGCUCGCUUUCGCAAGACUCUUUCUUUCUCCCCUUUCCUCUCCCCCCAACCCGUCCGUCGUCGCCUCCGCCCGAGGUAACCGCCAUAGCCGCGAGGAAUCAAGAACCUUGCCUGCCGCACGUCGUCCCUGAGGACCGAGAGGAGACGAUGGAGGGCGGCUGCGGCGUGGCCGGCGGGACGGAGGGCGGCGGCGGCAAGAAGCAGCAGCAGCAGGCGCGGCCGCAGUUCGGGCGGUCGCUGACGUACCACCACCACCAGGGGCACCGGCUGCUGCCCCGGUGGCGGCGGCCGCAGCUGGCGGACGAGCCCCGCGCGCGGCCGCAGGCGGUGGUGCUCUACACGACGUCGCUGCGCGGGGUGCGGCGCACCUUCGCGGACUGCUCCGCGGCGCGCGCCAUCCUGCGGGGGUCCCGCGUCGCCGUCGACGAGCGCGACGUGUCCAUGGACGCGGCGCUCCGCCGCGAGCUGCAGGCGCUGCUGGCCGCGCGGGGCCGCGCCUUCUCGCUCCCGCAGCUCUUCAUCGGGGGCCGGCUCGUCGGCGGCGCCGACGAGGUCCGGCAGCUGGACGAGUCCGGCCAGCUCCGGCGCCUCCUGGAGGGCGCCGCGGGGCAGGACCCGGCCUUCGUCUGCGACGCCUGCGGCGGGGUGCGCUUCGUCCCCUGCCCCGCCUGCGCCGGCAGCCGCAAGGUGUUCGACGAGGAGGAGGACCGCGCCCUCCGCUGCGGCGACUGCAACGAGAACGGGCUGGUGCGCUGCGCCAACUGCUCCUCCUGAUCCUUCCCCGCCGCUAAUUGAAUCCAAGGGUUAGAGUUGGUAGAUUCGUCGUCAGUCAGAUCAGAGAGGGGCGCAUUUUCGGUUUCUUGGGAGUUCUUGACUUAUGAUUUAUGUAUCCUGAAUCAAUCAAUCCGAUCGUUUGGGGAUCGGAUUGUUAGCUGCUCAUGGACGGAAGAGAACGAAUUGUUCUUGGCUCCUUUGCUGCGGGAAUCGCCGCCCGGUGGUGGUGAUUGGUGAUGAAUAAGAGCCGGUGCUUGUAUAUGUGUGUAAAAUCUGGCGCUGAGAUUAGCCUGAUUGGUUAAUGUGUAACGAAGAACUGAUGUAAAUACUUGAGCUCUGGGAGUGAUAAAUUAUUUUCUAGUUCCUUGAUUAUCCAUGGCUUUGGUCAAAUCUCUUCAUGGAUGUACUACAGUAGCAACACAGUUCGAUACCUCAUCAAGAACUGGCCCAACUGUACUAGCAGAAAGUCUUCAAGGCCGAAACUAGCUGUGAUCGACUGUACUACUCAGUCAGAAGCUGUACUCAUGCUGUUCUAUAGCUGUGUUCUAAAUUAGAGCCACCUCUUUUGUUCUUUAAUCAUGCAAGGUGAGUUGGGUAUUUAACAAGUUUUGAGCCUGGGGUGAUUAAUUCUUGCAUAGUUCUUUAUCUGAUCUCUUUAUCUUUCAUUGCUUUGAUGAUCCAUCUUAUAAGUACACGGUUUGAUUUCUUCAUGCACAGAUGUGUCAUUCCAUGGACGUACAGUUAUAUACAUCUUAAAACAAUGUGAUCGAUCGUCAUCCGGAAAUGAUCAUGAUCUGACUGUACUUACUAAAAGUCCUUAAUCAUGUUGCAUUCAAGUUGUUUUCCAAAAUUGCAGCCACCUCCUUCUUUACUUUAAGAUUCGUUGAGGUAAUGUGACCAUGGUGACCAAUUCAUCCACAAGAACUUAUGAUGAUCUCAAGAGAGAAAAGAAAGAAAGAAAACUUGUGAUUGAUGUAGCUAGAAGUCCACUGUAUUUUGAUCAUGAUCUAGUAAAGCUUUCUGUCUUGUGUUUUUCUUCUCCGUUGUAUUAGUGUAAGCCUGGUGACCAGUUCAUCCAGAAAGAGCUCCUGGUGGGGUGGUCUCAGGAGAGAAAACAUCUUCUGAUUGAUGCAGCUAUAAGUCCAUUGUAAUUUAUACGAUCUGGUUAUAAAACUGUGGAUUUGUGACCUACCGGUGCCAACAGCAAAAAUUGAGGGGAUCUCUGACUAUAGGCCUAUCAGUCUUAUCCACGCCGUUGCCAAAAUCAUCGCCAAGGUGCUGUCCAUUCGCCUAGCGCCGCUCAUGGAUGCUCUGGUUUCCAAUGCGCAGAGUGCAUUUAUCAAGAAGAGAAGCAUUCAUGAUAAUUUCAUGUAUGUUCGCAACUUUGCUCGUCGGCUGCACAAGUGCAAGACUCCAGCUCUGUUAUUCAAGCUGGACAUCAAAAAGGCUUUUGACUCAGUCCGAUGGGAGUAUGUCUUGGAUCUCAUGGAAUGCAUGGGGUUCCCUGAUAAAUUCAGAAAUUGGAUUGCGGCCUUGCUUUCCUCCUCGUCCUCGCGCUUCCUCCUCAACGGCCUGCCUGCCCCCCCACCCCCCCAUCAGGCAUGGACGUGGUUUUCGCCAAGGAGACCCCAUCUCGCCUCUGCUCUUCGUGCUCGCAAUUGACCCGUUGCACAAGAUCCUCGACUUGGCUAUGCGCAAGGGAAUCAUUCAUAAGAUUCGUGGCCGAGGUGCAAUGGUCAGAACCUCCCUCUAUGCGGAUGACGCUGCCAUGUUCAUGGCGCCAAUUAAGAGUGAUAUUGACAACCUUGCAACCAUCUUAAAAGGCUUUGGAGACGUCACGGGCCUUUGCACCAACUUCCACUGAAGCUCUGUCUUUCCCAUUCGAUGCGCCAACCUUGAUCCUGCGAGCAUUCUCAGCAGCAUCCCGGCGACCAGGGCGUUUUUCCCUAUCAAAUACUUGGGCCUCCCGCUCUCGGUUUGGAGACUGAAGAAAGUUGACUUCCAAUACCUCCAGAACAAGGCAGCUGAAAAAUUGGUCACCUGGGAUGGGCAGAACAUCACCACCAUUGGGCGCACGGCCCUUGUUCGCUCUGUCAUCACCUCUCAGGCUGUGUACUCCAUCACACCACUCAUUGUCCCUCAGGGUUCCCUUGACAACCUCAACAAGAUUGAGCGAGCUUUUCUUUGGUCCGGCUCUGACAAGACCAUCGGUGCCAAAUGUAAAGUCAACUGGGACAUGGUCUAUCGCCCCACCAGCUAUGGGGGUUUGGGUGUUCUUAACACCGACAAAUUUGCUCGUGCUUUGAGGCUCAGAUGGCUUUGGUUUGAAUGGAAAGAGCCGUCCAAGCUCUGGGUCGGCCUGGGCAACCCUUGCACCGAGGAGGACUGUGAUUUUUUCUACGCCUCCACUUCCAUCAUCGUGGGCAAUGGGGCCAAAACGCCUUUUUGGGACUCCCCCUGGCUGCUUGGCCGCAAGCCGAAGGACAUUGCAUCUCUCAUCUUUGAGGCCUCGAGGAGAAAGAACUGGAAGGUGCGAGAGGCUAUUAUAGAGAAUGCUUGGAUGCUUACGAUCAGACGAGACAUCACCAUCACUGGCCAGCAUGUGCGGGAAUUUUUCAUCCUCUGGAUGCUCAUCCAUGACAUACACCUCGACAUCCACUCCGAGGAUGACAUCAUUUGGAAGCACUCUUCGGAUGGCUCAUAUUCGGCGUCCACUGCAUACAACGCACAAUUUCUGGGUUUGACGCUUUCCCCCAUGGACUCCAUGGUCUGGAAAAUGUGGGCGCCCCCAAAGGUCAAAUUCUUCUCUUGGCUGGCCUUACAAGAUCGGAUUUGGACCGCCGACAGGCUAGAGCGACGUGGCUGGGACAACUGCGGUCUUUGCCCGCUCUGUAAUCAGGUGCAGGAGUCGGGCGUCCACCUAUUCGCCAAAUGCCGCUUCACCUUGAGGCUUUGGCGGAUGCUCAUUGACAAGUAUGGGCUUGCGCAUCUGGACCCUUCUGACUGGCACCUUGAGGAUUCCCUCCUCUCUUGGUGGGACAAGCGCACCAAUUCGAGCAUUCCGGAUCGUCGAGCCAUGGCCUCCCUUACCAUGCUCGUAUCCUGGACAAUUUGGAACGAGAGGAACGGUAGAGUCUUCCGCCACAAAGAGACGCCACCGCCAAUCCUUCUCAAGCUUAUUAUAGAUGAGGCCAACCUAUGGGUUACUGCAGGGGCUAAACAAUUAGGGAAAAUUGUAUCGCGCGAGUAAUUGUCAUGCCGGCCUUGUGUAACUCUACAAAACUUUAUUCUCCUCUACUUUAAUAGAUGAGGCAAACCUUUUGCCUCCGUUUUGAAAAAAAAAAAUCCAAUGGAAGCAGCCGCAGAAUUGCCACUCCAGCAGAAACGGCCAUCCCAUCACACCAGGAAUUAGGGUCAGAACAUCGGUGGGGCUGAUACAAAUGCGAGUCUGACACAGAGGGGAGGGGAGCUGCGAUUCCGGAGCCAGCAGCAAGAAUCCAUCAGAACAGCACUGCAGGCCUGGUCCAAGGCAAAAAACAAAGAGGUGUGCCUUCAGCGAUGCGAACCAACAAGAUCGUGGCGUGUUUGCGUCCAUGUGUGCCACAUCAGUACCGGCUGUACCACCUAGGUUCGUAUCGCACAUCGAUGAAGCUACUGUCGGUAGAUCGUGGCCAUCGCGGUGUAGCGAUGACUCGUGGUGUAUCAUCUGGAUUCUGGAAGACCGUAACCAUGAAUAAUUUAUUUUAACACACACAGACGCAAGCAUUUAUAUAUGUGUACAUACACUCACCUCUAUAAAUGCACACACACCCUAACUGAACACCACAUCCUUCCCUCACACCCAUGGCGGCAUCAAUUUUCUUUUCAAAAUGGCAGGAUUCCUACAUUUAUUGAGAAAAAAAUAGUUGCCUAGUUUUUUUUUGCGUGGAAAAUAGCUACUUAGUUAAUUGGGGAAAACCGAGCGAAAACCAGUUAAUUAUGAAGAACCGGACGAAAAUCAUCACAAUUGCUGAGCGGCACAUAUAAGAUAUUCCACGCAUAUCACUCCAAAGAGGGCAUCGUCGAGAUAACACGCAAGCGUCAUCGUCAUCAUUUCUGCCCUAGAGACGUCAUCGCCAUCCCUAAGGGGCUGUUUGGUUCAUGCCCAAGCCAACCCCGCCAAUAUCGGGUUUGCCAAAUUAUUGGCAAAGGUUUUCGCCGCCGCCGCCUCGCCAACGCGCGGGCGCUAAAUCUGAACGAACCACCAAAGAAUUGGCUUGGACAGCAAACUCUGGCUUUGAUCCAAACGGCGGUCGAUACUAGUGGUCAACGCCAAAAAUUUGGUAGGGAAGCCGCGGGCUGCAUUCCAAACAGCCCCUAAACCCUGAGCAAUCAACUCCGACUUCGCCAUAAGCGGUCGUCGGCCCAACCCUCAUUGUAGAGGCCGUGUGAAGAUGAAUGAAGAUCCGCGCCAGAACUCGGCCACCCGCGACCAAACAACACAGCUCUGACUUUGACGAAGAACCAGAAGGAGAACUAGGCACGACUAGCGCUGCAGAAGAUCAUCGAACAAACCACCUACUGUCUGUCAUUGUACGCCACCGGGACCCCGCCACUGCAGUUUCGACUUCAUAGCAACAAACCGGCCGAGGCAAUCCCGCAGACACGUGAGAGAAGAGCCGACUACCUCAACCAUAGCCACGUCUCUAACAUUGCUUCCCACGUGAUCGUUGCCACAAAAGCCUCGAGCCAACACCGCCGUCUUCCACUGAUCUCGCUAGCCAAUACCCAGCUCCAAAGACAAAGCCCCCAAGAGGAAAUACGACACCAAGGGGUCGCCAUCGUCCCAUCAAACAACAUCAAGGGUUUCCCUGGAGUUGCAGCAAUUCGGGCAAGGAAGGGGAUGCAGCAACAAUACAUAGUACAACGAACGACACACAUACCCGCAAGGUUUUUUAUUGACGGUCCACUUACAACCGGGCUAGUUGCGGUGAUUCAGAUGCUUGGGCCUGGCCUGACUUGACCGAACCGGAAUCCAAACCGCCUCCUGCUAAAACACCAAAAUUCCAGUUAAUUUACUUAUCAAAAAGUGCAAGUACGCCUGUUCCCUCUAGUUAGGGUUUUCCUUCUCUCGAGGCGAUCUUGAUCGCCGUUGUUGAGAUCGUUCUCUUCCCUACCUCUGCCGUGUUCUCCGGCCCUCUCUCUUCGAGCGGAGGUACGGCGGCGACCUUGGUCCAGGCGGGACUAGGGAGGGAGGGGAUCUAGGGUUUUUCCUCAAGGCCCGGUGUUCUAAUCGGGUUAGGGUUUGCAGUUUUCCAUGGCGUCGGACGGAGCUUCGGGAUCGCGCUCAGCAGGGCCCUCCGAGGCGGACGACGUAACAACACUGAUGAUGGAGCUAGGUCUUCGAGAGGAGGACCUUGACGAUGUGGUUUUCGACGAGGAUGAGGCGCCGUCGGCGGCGGCGCGAUGGAUCGCGCUGGUCAGGGUGCACACGCCCAAAUCAUACAUCCAAUAUUGGUUCUUUAAGAAUAUGAGAGCGGCGUGGGAUCUAGCUCAGGAGUGAAGGAAAUAUGCCCUAGAGGCAAUAAUAAAUUUAUUAUUUAUUUCCUUAUAUCAUGAUAAAUGUUUAUUAUUCAUGCUAGAAUUGUAUUAACCGGAAACAUAAUACAUGUGUGAAUACAUAGACAAACAUAGUGUCACUAGUAUGCCUCUACUUGACUAGCUCGUUAAUCGAAGAUGGUUAAGUUUCCUAGCCAUGGACAUGAGUUGUCAUUUGAUUAACGGGAUCACAUUAUUAGGAGAAUAAUGUGAUUGACUUGACCCAUUCCGUUAGCUUAGCACUUGAUCGUUUAGUAUGUUGCUAUUGCUUUCUUCAUGACUUAUACAUGUUCCUAUGACUAUGAGAUUAUGCAACUCCCGUUUACCGGAGGAACACUUUGUGUGCUACCAAACGUCACAACGUAACUGUGUGAUUAUAAAGGUGCUCUACAGGUGUCUCCGAAGGUACUUGUUGGGUUGGCAUAUUUCGAGAUUAGGAUUUGUCACGCCGAUUGUCGGAGAGGUAUCUCUGGGCCCUCUCGGUAAUGCACAUCACUAUAAGCCUUGCAAGCAUUGUGACUAAUGAGUUAGUUGCGAGAUGAUGUAUUACGGAACGAGUAAAGAGACUUGCCGGUAACGAGAUUGAACUAGGUAUUGAGAUACCGAAGAUCGAAUCUCGGGCAAGUAACAUACCGAUGACAAAGGGAACAACAUAUGUUGUUAUGCGGUUUGACCAAUAAAGAUCUUCGUAGAAUAUGUAGGAGCUAAUAUGAGCAUCCAGGUUCCGCUAUUGGUUAUUGAGCGGAGACGUGUCUCGGUUAUGUCUACAUAGUUCUCGAACCCGUAGGGUCCGCACGCUUAAAGUUAGAUGAUGAUCGGUAUUAUGAGUUUUGUGUUUUGAUGUACCGAAGGUAGUUCGGAGUCCCGGAUAUGAUCACAGACAAGGAGUCUCGAAAUGGUCGAGACAUAAAGAUUGAUAUAUUGGACGACUAUAUGUUCGGACACCGGAAUGGUUUCUGGGAGUUUCGGACACAUACUGGAGUACCGGGGGGUUACCGGAACCCCCCGGGGAGACUAAUGGGCCUAUUGGGCCCUAGUGGAGAAGAGGAGGGGCGGCCAAGGGCAGCCGCGCGCCCCCUUCCCCCCCAGUCCGAAUUGGACAAGGAGGGGGGCGGCGACGCCCCCCUUUCCUUUCACCCCUCUCUUCCCGGUGGGAGUAGGACUCCUCAUGGGGCGCGCCUAGGGUGGCCGGCCCCCUCCCCCUCCUCCACUCCUUUAUAUAUGGGGAGGGGGGCACCCCUUGGAGACACAACAAUUGAUCUCUUGAUCUCUUAGCCGUGUGCGGUGCCCCCCUCCACCAUAUUCCACGUCGAUAAUAUCGUAGCGGUGCUUAGGCGAAGCCCUGCGUUGGUAGCAUCAUCAUCACCGUCACCACGCCGUCGUGUGAUGACCCACAAGUAUAGGGGAUCUAUCGUAGUCCUUUCGAUAAGUAAGAGUGUCGAACCCAACGAAGAGCAGAAGGAAAUGAUAAGCGGUUUUCAGCAAGGUAUUCUCUGCAAGUACUGAAAUAAGUGGUAACAGAUAGUUUUGUGAUAAGAUAAUUUGUAACAAGCAACAAGUAACAAAAGUAAAUAAAGUGCAGCAAGGUGGCCCAAUCCUUUUUGUAGCAAAGGACAAGCCUGGACAAACUCUUAUAUAGAGAAAAGCGCUCCUGAGGACACAUGGGGAUUAUCGUCAAGCUAGUUUUCAUCACGUUCAUAUGAUUCGCGUUCGGUACUUUGAUAAUUUGAUAUGUGGGUGGACCGGUGCUUGGGUGCUGUUCUUACUUGAACAAGCAUCCCACUUAUGAUUAACCUCUAUUGCAAGCAUCCGCAACUACAACAAAAGUAUUAAGGUAAACCUAACCAUAGCAUGAAACAUAUGGAUCCAAAUCAGCCCCUUACGAAGCAACACAUAAACUAGGGUUUAAGCUUCUGUCACUCUAGCAUCUACUUAUUACUUCACAAUGCCUUCCUCUAGGCCCCAAUAAUGGCGAAGUAUUAUGUAGUCGACGUUCACAUAACACCACUAGAGGCUAGACAACAUACAUCUCAUCAAAAUAUCGAACGAAUACCAAAUUCACAUGACUACUAAUAGCAAGACUUCUCCCGUGUCCUCAGGAACAAACGUAACUACUCAUAAAACAUAUUCAUGUUCAUAAUCAGAGGGGUAUUAAUAUGCAUAAAGGAUCUGAACAUAUGAUCUUCCACGAAAUAAACCAACUAGCAUCAACUACAAGGAGUAAUCAACACUACUAGCAACCUACUAGUACCAAUCCCGGACUUCGAGACAAGAAUUGGAUACAAGAGAUGAACUAGGGUUUUGAGAGGAGAUGGUGCUGGUGAAGAUGUUGAUGGAGAUUGCCCUCUCCCGAUGAGAGGAGCAUUGGUGAUGACGAUGGCAAUGAUUUCCCCCUCCCGGAGGGAAGUGUCCCCGGCAGAACAGCUCUGCCGGAGCCCUAGAUUGGUUCCGCCUCGUGGCGGCGCACUCUCGUCCCGAAAGGUUGCUUAUGAUUUUUUUCUCGACGAAAGACUUCAUAUAGCAGAAGAUGGCCACCGGAGGAGAGCCAACAGGGGGCCCACGAGGCAGGGGCGCGCGUCCCCACCCUCGUGGCCAGGUGGGGCCCCCUCUGACGUACUUCUUCCGCUCAAUAUUUUUUAUUAUUUCCAAAAAUGACUUUCGUGGAGUUUCAAGACUUUUGGAGUUGUGCAGAAUAGGUCUCUAAUAUUUGCUCCCUUUCCAGCCCAGAAUUCCAGCUGCCGGCAUUCUCCCUCCUUAUGUAAACCUUGUAAAAUAAGAGAGAAUAGGCAUAAGUAUUGUGACAUAACGUGUAAUAACAGCCCAUAAUGCAAUAAAUAUCGGUAUAAAAGCAUGAUGCAAAAUGGACGUAUCAACUCCCCCAAGCUUAGACCUUGCUUGUCCUCAAGCGGAAGCCGAUAACGAUAAAUAUGUCCACAUGUUUAGAGGUAGAGGUGUCGAUAAAAUAAAAUACGGACAUGAGGGCAUCAUUAUUAUUCUCAUAACAGCAACAUAUAUGGAUAUUGUCAUAUGAUUUCUUAUGCUCAAGUAAUAAUCUAUUCACAAUGCAAAAGUACGAAUCAUAAACUUUAUUGAGAACCAACAAACUAUAAUCUCAGUCAUUGAAGCAAUUGCAAUUUAUCAUAACAUCAGAAAGAUUCUAUGUCAGAGCUUUCUAGCAAGUCCACAUACUCAACUAUCAUUUAGUCUUUCAUAAUUGCUAACACUCACGCAAUACUUGUGGUUACGUAGUUUUAAUCGGACACAGAGAAAGAUAGGGGCUUAUAGUUUCGCCUCCCAACCUUUUACCUCAAGGGUAAUGUCAACAAUAAUAACUCUUGGUCCCCUAUAUCCAAUUAGAUAUAUCUAUCAGGAUCUUUCCAACAUACUGUGCUUGCCAAAGGAGAAAAUGUAAAAAGGAAAGGUGAAGAUCACCAUGACUCUUGCAUAAGGUAGAAGAUAAUAGUAAAAGAUAGGCCCUUCGCAGAGGGAAGCAGAGGUUGCCAUGCGCUUUCAGGGUUGGAUGCACAAAAUCUUAAUGCGAAAGAACGUCACUUUAUAUUGCCACUUGUGAUAUGAACCUUUAUUAUGCAGUCCGUCGCUUUUAUUUCUUCCACAUCACAAGAUCGUAUAAAGCUUAUUUCCUCCACAACAAUCAAUCAUACAUAUUUAGAGAGCAAUUUUUAUUUCUUGCACCGAUGACAGCUUACUUGAAGGAUCUUACUCAAUCCAUAGGUAGAUAUGGUGGACUCUCAUGGAAAAAUCGGGUUUAAGGGUUUUUGGAAGCACAAGUAGUAUCUCUACUUGGUGCAAAGAAUUUGGCUAGCAUGAGGGGGAAAGGCAAGCUCAACAUGUUGGAUGAUCCAUGACAAUAUACUUUAUCUCAGAUAUAAGAAAACAUAACCCAUUACAUUGUCUUCCUUGUCCAACAUCAACUCUUUAGCAUGUCAUAUUUUAAUGAGUGCUCCCAAUCAUAAAAGAUGUCAAGAUAGUAUAUUUAUAUGUGAAACCUCUCUUUCUUUAUUACUUCCUAUUAAUUGCAACGAUGACCAAAGCUAUGUUUGCCAACUCCCAACAACUUUUAAUCAUCAUACUCUUUCUAUGUGAUGUCAUUACUCUCCAUAAGAUCAAUAUGAUCUCUUUGUUUCUUUUUAUUCUUUUUCUCUUUUCUUUUAUUCACUCAAGAUCAUGGCAAAAUAAUCAAGCCCUUGACUCAACACUAAUCUUUAUUAUAUAGCACACGGAGUCGAUUACAUAGAGGGAUCAUAAAGCAAAACUCAAAACUACAUCAUGCCAUAAACUUUAUUCUACUAGAUCAGGAUACUACUAAUAGGAUCAAACUAAGAAAAACGGUAAAGAUAUAUAGGAGUGUGAUGGUGAUACGAUACCGGGGCACCUCCCCCAAGCUUGGCAAUUGCCAAGGGGAGUGCCCAUACCCAUGUGACUAUAUCUCCUUCUUCGGAGGUGAUGGUGCGAUAUUCUUGGGGACGAUGCCCCUCAGGAUACGAUUCUCCUCCUCAAGCUUAUUGACUUUCUGCUUGAGGUUUGUUACUUCCUUACGAAGCUUUCCUGUAAUGGCUAAAGCUCCUUGCACCCAAGGGUGUUGCAUAGCUGCGGGAGAACAAGUGACACUCUUCUUCAUAUUUUCAUAAGAAAGAAAUCUAACAUUGGAAGGGAUAACCGAGUUUGGAAUGGCUGAGCUUUGUGGUUCUCCCAUCGUGAACCCAGCUCGGAAGCGAGAAGUGACUUCUUGAUCCUCCAUGGCAUCUAUCCUCAUCAAAUCAGCCUCCAUCUCUUCCUCCGUUGCUGGCCCAAAGUGGUCAGCAUCGCUGUUUGUCCUUGGUUCCGAUGCCGGAUGUGACACCCGGCUCUCCCCAACCGACUCUUGAGAAGACAUCUUGCUGUAAUCUGCAGCAGCAACAGCUUGAAACAAGAACAGAGAAUAUUUGCGUGAUACAUGAGUCAAAACCUUCGGGAGAAUAUAUAACGAAUUUUUACCGACCAAAAUACGUAUCGUGCAAGAGAACGAAGUCCGGAGAGCACACGAGGUGCCCACGAGGUAGGGGGGCGCGCCCAAUAGGGUAGGGCGCGCCCUCCACCCUCGUGUCCUUCCCGGACUGCCUCUUAUUUUUCUAAUUUUCUAAAUAUUCCAGAACGGAGAAAUAUUGCCUUUAAAACUGUUUUGGAGUCGGUUUACUUACCGUACCACAUACCUAUUCCUUUUCGGAGUCUGAAACGUUUCGGAAAGUGUCCCUUAUGUAUUCCUCCGGGGUUACGGUUUGAAUAACAUUGGUUUCAACAUUUAUGGGAUUACCUGAGAUAUAAUGUUUGAUUCUUUGACCGUUCACCACCUCCGGAUUUGUGCCUUCGAAGUUGUUGAUUUUUAUGGCACCGGAAUGAUAGACCUCCUCGAUAACGUAAGGGCCUUCCCAUUUAGAGAGAAGUUUUCCUGCAAAAAAUCUUAAACGAGAGUUGUAUAGCAAUACAUAAUCACCUACAUUAAACUCACGCUUUUGUAUCCUUUUGUCAUGCCACCUUUUAACUUUUUCUUUAAACAACUUGGCAUUUUCAUAAGCUUGGGUUCUCCAUUCAUCAAGUGAGCUAAUAUCAAAUAACCUCUUCUCACCGGCAAGUUUGAAAUCAUAAUUGAGCUCUUUAAUAGCCCAAUAUGCCUUAUGUUCUAGUUCGAGAGGUAAGUAACAUGCUUUCCCAUAAACCAUUUUAUACGGAGACAUACCCAUAGGAUUUUUAUAUGCAGUUCUAUAAGCCCAUAAUGCAUCAUCAAGUUUCUUGGACCAAUUCUUUCUAGACCUAUUGACAAUCUUUUGCAAAAUUAAUUUGAGUUCUCUAUUACUCAAUUCUACUUGACCACUAGACUAUGGGUGAUAAGGAGAUGCAAUUCUAUGAUUAACAUCAUACUUAGCAAGCAUUUUUUGGAAUGCACCAUGAAUAAAAUGUGAACCACCAUCAGUCAUUAAAUAUCUAGGGACUCCAAACCUCGGAAAAAUAACUUCUUUAAGCAUCUUAAUAGAGGUGUUAUGAUCAUCACUACUAGUUGGAAUAGCUUCUACCCACUUAGUAACGUAAUCAACAACUAAAAUAUGUGUGUAACCAUUAGAGGCAGGAAAAGGUCCCAUAUAAUCAAAGCCCCAAACGUCAAAUGGUUCAAUAACAAGUGAAUAAUUCAUAGGCAUUUCUUGACGUCUACUAAUAUUACCAAUUCUUUGACAUUCAUCACAAGAUAAGACAAACUUGCGGGCAUCCUUGAAGAGAGUAGGCCAAUAAAAACCGGAUUGCAAUACCUUAUGUGCAGUUCUAUCUCCAGCGUGGUGUCCUCCAUAAGCUUCGGAGUGACACUUGCGUAGGAUCUGUUCCUGUUCAUGCUCAGGUACACAACGUCUAAUAACACCAUCUACUCCUUCUUUAUAAAGAUGUGAGUCAUCCCAAAAGUAAUGUCUCAAAUCAUAGAAAAACCUUUUCUUUUGCUGAUAUUUGAAACUAGGUGGUACGAAUUUAGCAACAAUGUAAUUAGCAUAAUCAGCAUACCACGGAGCAGCACGAGAAGUACUUAUGACAUUUAAUUGCUCAAAAGGAAAGCUAUCAUCAAUAGGUAGUGGGUCAUCAAGAACAUUUUCUAACCUAGACAAGUUGUCUGCAACGGGGUUCUCAGCUCCCUUUCUAUCAACAAUAUGCAAAUCAAAUUCUUGUAGCAAGAGAACCCAUCUAAUAAGUCUAGGUUUAGCAUCUUUCUUUUCCAUAAGAUAUUUAAUAGCAGCAUGAUCCGUGUGAAUAGUUACUUUAGAAUCAACAAUAUAAGGUCUGAACUUAUCACAAGCAAAUACAACUGCUAAGAAUUCUUUUUUAGUAGUAGCAUAAUUUCUCUGAGCAUUAUCUAGAGUUUUACUAGCAUAUUGAAUAACAUUUAAUUUCUUAUCAACUCUUUGCCCUAGAACAACACCUACAGCAUAAUCACUAGCAUCACACAUAAUUUCAAAGGGUAAAUUCCAAUCAGGUGGCUGAACGAUAGGUGCAGAGAUCAAUGCUUUCUUAAGUAUUUCAAAUGCUUCUACACAAUCAUCAUCAAAGACAAAUGGUAUAUCUUUUUGUAAUAAAUUAGUCAGAGGCCGAGAAAUUUUUGAGAAGUCCUUAAUGAACCUCCUAUAACAUCCGGCGUGACCAAGGAAACUUCUUAUACCUUUGGUGUCAAUGGGACAUGGCAUCUUUUCAAUAGCAUCAACCUUGGCUUUAUCAACUUCAAUACCUCUUUCAGAGACUUUAUGCCCCAAGACAAUACCUUCAUUAACCAUAAAGUGGCACUUUUCCCAAUUCAAGACAAGAUUAGUUUCUUCACAUCUCUGCAAAACUCGAUCAAGGUUGCUCAAGCAAUCAUCAAAAGAGGAUCCAUAGACGGAGAAGUCGUCCAUGAAAACCUCACAAAUCUUUUCACAAAAGUCAGAGAAUAUAGCCAUCAUGCAUCUUUCAAAGGUAGCAGGUGCAUUACAUAAACCAAAAGGCAUACGUCUAUAAGCAAAAGUACCAAAAGGGCAAGUAAAAGUAGUCUUUGAUUGAUCAUUGGCUGACACAGGUAUUUGAGAGAAACCAGAAUAACCAUCUAGAAAGCAAAAAUGUGUAUGUUUGGAUAAUCUUUCUAGCAUUUGAUCAAUAAAAGGUAAGGGGUAAUGAUCUUUCUUAGUAGCCUUAUUUAAUUUGCGGAAAUCAAUUACCAUCCUAUAACCUGUAAUAAUUCUUUGCGGAAUCAAUUCAUCUUUAUCAUUAGGGACGACAGUAAUACCUCCCUUCUUAGGGACACAAUGGACAGGACUUACCCACUGACUAUCAGCAACGGGAUAAAUUAUACCUGCCUCAAGAAGCUUUAGUAUUUCUUUUCUUACCACUUCUUUCAUCUUAGGAUUUAGCCGUUGUUGAUGAUCACGAACUGGUUUGGCAUCUUCUUCCAAAUUUAUUUUAUGUUGACAUAGAGUGGGACUAAUGCCCUUAAGAUCAUCAAGAGUAUAUCCAAUAGUAGCACGAUGCUUCUUCAGAGUUUUCAAUAAUCUUUCUUCUUCAUGCUCUGAAAUGUUAGCACUAAUAAUAACAUGAUAUAUCUUCUUUUCAUCAAGAUAAGCAUAUUUAAGAGUAUCAGGCAACGGUUUAAGCUCAAACACGGGAUCACCCUUGGGUGGAGGAGGAUCCCCUAGGAUUUCAAUAGGAAAAUUGUGUUUCAGGAUAGGUUCUUGUUUAAAGAAUACUUCAUCUAUUUCCCUUCUUUCAUUCAUAAACAUACUAUUUUCAUGGUCUAGCAAAUAUUGUUCUAAAGGAUCACUAGGAGGUACGGCAAUAGAACCAAGACCAAUAAUUUCAUCCUUACUAGGUAAUUCCUCUUCAUGGUGUUGUCUACUAAAUUUAGAGAAAUUAAACUCAUGAGACAAAUCACCUAGACCAAUAGUGACAACAUCCUUUUCGCAGUCUAUCCUAGCAUUAACGGUGUUCAAGAAGGGUCUACCAAAUAUAAUGGGACAAAAGCUAUCUUGUGGGGAACCAAGAACAAGAAAAUUAGCAGGAUAUUAGUUUUCCCACACAAGACUUCAACAUCUCUAACAAUUCCAAUGGGUGAUAUUGUAUCUCUAUUAGCAAGUUUGAUGGUAACAUCAAUACCUUCUAUCUCAGCAGGUGCAAUUUCAUGCAUAAUUUCUUUGUAUAAGUCAUGAGGUAUAGCACUAGCACUAGCACCCAUAUCACAUAAGCCAUGAUAACAAUGAUCUCCUAUUUUAACAGAAAUAACAGGCAUGCCUACUACAGGUCUAUGUUUAUCUUUAGCACAAGGUUUGGCAAUUCUAGCAGUUUCACCGCAGAAAUAAAUAACAUGCCCAUCAAUAUUAUCAGCCAAGAGAUCUUUAACAAUAGCAAUAUUAGGUUCAACUUUGAUUUGCUCAGGAGGUGUAUAAGUUCUAAUAUUGCUUUUACAAACCACAGUUGAAGCUUUAGCAUGAUCCUUUAUCCUAACAGGGAAAGGUGGUUUCUCAACAUAAGAAGUAGGAACAAUAGGAUCAUUAUAAGUGAUAGUCUUUUCUUCAACUUUAAUAGGUGCAGCUACUUUUACUUCUAUGGGAGGAUGAUAUUUAAACCACUUCUCCUUGGGGAGAUCAACAUAAGUAGCAAAAGAUUCACAGAAUGAAGCUACUAUCUCAGAGUCAAGUCCAUAUUUAGUGCUAAAUUUACGGAAAACAUCGGUAUCCAUAAAAGAUUUAGCACAAUCAAACUUAGGUGUCAUACCUGACUCCUUACCUUCGUCGAGAUCCCAAUCUUCAGAGUUGCAUUUAAUUCUAUCCAAUAAAUUCCAUUUGAAUUCAAUAGUCUUCAUCAUAAAAGAGCCAGCACAAGAAGUAUCGAGCAUGGUGCGAUUGUUAUCAGAAAGCCGAGCAUAAAAAAUUUGAAUAAUUAUUUCUCUUGAGAGCUCAUGAUUGGGGCAUGAAUAUAACAUUGAUUUAAGCCCCCCCAAGCUUGAGCGAUGCUUUCUCCUUCGCGAGGCCAAAAAUUAUAUAUAUAAUUGCGAUCACGAUGAACAAGAUGCAUAUGAUAAAACUUCUGAUGAAAUUUCAAUUUCAAUCGUUUGUAGUUCCAUGACCCCGUAUCAUCACAUAGCCUAUACCAUGUCGAUGCAUCUCCCUUCAAACAUAAAGGGAAGACCUUCUUCUUAAUAACAUCACCGGGUAUACCUGCAAGCUUAAAUAAUCCACAUAGAUUAGGUGCUCAUCAGGAUGCUUUGUUCCAUCUCCUGCAAAAGGAUUAGCUAGCAGUUUUUUUAACAUACCCGAAGGAAAUUCAAAGGGAACAUUUUCAUUUUCAGUAGGUUCAGUAGGUUGAGGAGCAACUCUUUGCUCUACUGGUCGGGGUGAAGAUACCGCAAACAAGCCCCUCAGAGGAUUACUUUCCAUAGUAACAAGUGACAGUAAAUUUCAGCACACUAUAUAAAUUUUUCCUUACCAAAUUCCACCUACCAAAGGCGCUUCACUCCCCGGCAACGGCGCCAGAAAAGAGUCUUGAUGACCCACAAGUAUAGGGGAUCUAUCGUAAUCCUUUCGAUAAGUAAGAGUGUCGAACCCAACGAGGAGCAGAAGGAAAUGAUAAGCGGUUUUCAGCAAGGUAUUCUCUGCAAGUACUGAAAUAAGUGGUAACAGAUAGUUUUGUGAUAAGAUAAUUUGUAACGAGCAACAAGUAACAAAAGUAAAUAAAGUGCAGCAAGGUGGCCCAAUCCUUUUUGUAGCAAAGGAUAAGCCUGGACAAACUCUUAUAUAGAUAAAAGCGCUCCUGAGGACACAUGGGAAUUAUCGUCAAGCUAGUUUUCAUCACGUUCAUAUGAUUCGCGUUCGGUACUUUGAUAAUUUGAUAUGUGGGUGGACCGGUGCUUGGGUGCUGUUCUUACUUGAACAAGCAUCCCACUUAUGAUUAACCUCUAUUGCAAGCAUCCGCAACUACAACAAAAGUAUUAAGGUAAACCUAACCAUAGCAUGAAACAUAUGGAUCCAAAUCAGCCCCUUACGAAGCAACGCAUAAACUAGGGUUUAAGCUUCUGUCACUCUAGCAACUCAUCAUCUACUUAUUAGUUCCCAAUGCCUUCCUCUAGGCCCAAAUAAUGGUGAAGUGUUAUGUAGUCGACGUUAAAAUAACACCACUAGAGGCUAGACAACAUACAUCUCAUCAAAAUAUCGAGCGAAUACCAAAUUCACAUGACUACUAAUAGCAAGACUUCUCCCGUGUCCUCAGGAACAAACGUAACUACUCACAAAACAUAUUCAUGUUCAUAAUCAGAGGGGUAUUAAUAUGCAUAAAGGAUCUGAACAUAUGAUCUUCCACCAAAUAAACCAACUAGCAUCAACUACAAGGAGUAAUCAACACUACUAGCAACCUACUAGUACCAAUCCCGAACUUGGAGACAAGAAUUGGAUACAAGAGAUGAACUAGGGUUUUAAGAGGAGAUGGUGCUGGUGAAGAUGUUGAUGGAGAUUGCCCUCUCCCGAUGAGAGGAGCGUUGGUGAUGACGAUGGCGAUGAUUUCCCCCUCCCGGAGGGAAGUGUCCCCGGCAGAACAGCUCUGCCGGAGCCCUAGAUUGGUUCCGCCUCGUGGCAGCUGAGUCUCGUCCUGAAAGGUUGCUUAUGAUUUUUUUCUCGACGAAAGACUUCAUAUAGCAGAAGAUGGCCACCGGAGAGCCAACAGGGGGCCCACGAGGCAGGGGGCGCGCCCCCACCCUCGUGGCCAGGUGGGGCCCCCUCUGACGUACUUCUUCCGCUCAAUAUUUUUUAUUAUUUCCAAAAAUGACUUUACUGGAGUUUCAGGACAUUUGGAGUUGUGAAGAAUAGGUCUCUAAUAUUUGCUCCUUUUCCAGCCCAGAAUUCCAGCUGCCGGCAUUCUCCCUCCUUAUGUAAACCUUGUAAAAUAAGAGAGAAUAGGCAUAAGUAUUGUGACAUAACGUGUAAUAACAGCCCAUAAUGGAAUAAAUAUCGGAAUAAAAGCAUGAUGCAAAAUGGACGUAUCAUCGUGCUGACGGAACUCUCCCUCAAAGCUCGGCUGGAUCGGAGUUCGAGGGACGUCAUCGAGCUGAACGUGUGCUGAACUCGGAGGUGCCGUAUGUUCGAUACUCGGAUCGGCCAGAUCGUGAAGACGUACGACUACAUCAACCGCGUUGUGCUAACGCUUCCGCUUUCGGUCUACGAGGGUACGUGGACACACUCUCCCCUCUCGUUGCUAUGCAUCACCAUGAUCCUGUGUGUGCGUAGGAUUUUUUUUGAAAUUACUACGUUCCCCAACAGUGGCAUCCGAGCCUGGUUUUACGCGUAGAUGUUAUAUGCAUGAGUAGAACACAAGUGAGUUGUGGGCGAUACAAGUCAUACUGCUUACCAACAUGUCAUACUUUGGUUCGGCGGUAUUGUUGGAUGAAGCGGCCCAGACCGACAUUACACGUACGCUUACGCGAGACUGGUUCAACCGACGUGCUUUGCACAAAGGUGGCUGGUGGGUGUCAGUUUCUCCAACUUUAGUUGAAUCGAGUGUGGCUACGCCCGGUCCUUGAGAAGGUUAAAACAUCACUAACUUGACGAACUAUCGUUGUGGUUUUGAUGCGUAGGUAAGAAUGGUUCUUGCUCAGCCCGUAGCAGCCACGUAAAACUUGCAACAACAAAGUAGAGGACGUCUAACUUGUUUUUGCAGGGCAUGUUGUGAUGUGAUAUGGUCAAGGCAUGAUGCUAUAUUUUAUUGUAUGAGAUGAUCAUGUUUUGUAACCGAGUUAUCGGCAACUGGCAGGAGCCAUAUGGUUGUCGCUUUAUUGUAUGCAAUGCAAUCGCCCUGUAAUGCUUUACUUUAUCACUAAGCGGUAGCGAUAGUCGUAGAAGCAAUAGUUGGCGAGACGACAACGAUGCUACGAUGGAGAUCAAGGUGUAGCGCCGGUGACGAUGGUGAUCAUGACGGUGCUUCGGAGAUGGAGAUCACAAGCACAAGAUGAUGAUGGCAAUAUCAUGUCACUUAUAUUGAUUGCAUGUGAUGUUUAUCCUUUAUGCAUCUUAUUUUGCCUUGAUUGAUGGUAGCAUUAUAAGAUGAUCUCUCACUAAAUUUCAAGAUAAAAGUGUUCUGCCUGAGUAUGCACCGUUGCCAAAGUUCGUCGUGCCGAGACACCACGUGAUGGUCGGGUGUGAUAAUCUCUACGUUCAUCUACAACGGGUGCAAGCCAGUUUUGCACACGCAGAAUACUCGGGUUAAACUUGACGAGCCUAGCAUAUGCAGAUAUGGCCUCGGAACACUGAGACCGAAAGGUCGAGCGUGAAUCAUAUAGUAGAUAUGAUCAACAUAGUGAUGUUCACCAUUAAAAACUACUCUAUCUCACGUGAUGAUCGGACAUGGUUUAGUUGAUUUGGAUCACGUGAUCACUUAGAUGAUUAGAGGGAUGUCUAUCUAAGUGGGAGUUCUUAAGUAAUAUGAUUAAUUGAACUUUAAUUUAUCAUGAACUUAGUCCUGGUAGUAUUAGCAUAUCUAUGAUGUAGAUCAAUAUCUCAUGUUUAGCUCCCCUGUUUUAUUUUUGAUAUGUUCCUAGAGAAAAAUAAGUUGAAAGAUGUUAGUAGCAAUGAUACGGAUUGGAUCCGUGAUCUGAGGAUUAUCCUCAUUGUUGCACAGAAGAAUUAUGUCCUUGAUGCACCACUAGGUGACAGACCGAUUGCAGGAGCAACUGCAGAUGUUAUGAACGUUUGGCAAGCUCGAUAUGAUGACUACUUGAUAGUUUAGUGCACCAUGCUUUACGGCUUAGAAUUGGGGCUUCAAAGACGUUUUUUGAAAUGCCAUGGAGCAUAUGAGAUGUUCCAGGAGUUGAAAUUAGUAUUUCAUACUCAUGCCCGUGUCGAGAGGUAUGAGACCUCUGACAGUACUUUGCCUACAAGAUGGAGGAGAAUUGCUCAGCUAGUGAGCAUGUGCUCAGAAUGUCUGAGUACUACAAUCACUUGAAUCAAGUGGGAGUUAAUAUUCUAGAUAAGAUAGUGAUUGGCAGAGUUCUCUAGUCACUAUCACCAAGUUACUAGAACUUCGUGAUGAACUAUAAUAUGCAAGGGAUAACGAAAACAAUUCCCAAGCUCUUCGUGAUGCUGAAAUCGACGAAGGUAGAAAUCAAGAAAAACAUCAAGUGUUGAUGGUUGACAAGACCACUAGUUUCAAGAAAAGGGCAAAGGGAAGAAGGGGAACUUCAAGAAGAACGGUGAUACGUCUCCAACAUAUCUAUAAUUUUUUAUUGUUCCAUGCUAUAUUAUAUUCUACUUUGGACAUUAUUGGGCUUUAUUAUACACUUUUAUAUUAUUUUUGGGACUAACCUAUUAACCGGAGGCCCAGCCCAGAAUUGCCUUUUUUGCCUAUUUCAGAGUUUCGCAGAAAAAGAAUAUCAAACAAAGUCCAAACGGAAUGAAACCUUCGGGAAUGUGAUUUUCGGAACGAACGUGAUCCAGAGGACUUGGACCCUACGUCAAGAAAGCUACCAGAAGGGCACGAGGUAGGGGGGCACGCCUACCCCCCUGGGCGUGCCCUCCACCCUCGUGGGCCCCACGUUGCUCCACCGACGUACUUCUUCCUCCUAUAUAUACCUACGUACCCCCAAACUACCAGAUACGGAGCCAAAAACCUAAUUCUACCGCCGCAACCCUCUGUACCCGUGAGAUCCCAUCUUGGGGCCUUUUCCGGAGCUCCGCCGGAGGGGGCAUCGGUCACGGAGGGCUUCUACAUCAACACCAUAGCCUCUCCGAUGAUGUGUGAGUAGUUUACCUCAGACCUUCGGGUCCAAGGUUAUUAGCUAGAUGGCUUCUUCUCUCUUUUUGGAUCUCAGUACAAUGUUCUCCCCCUCUCUUGUGGAGAUCUAUUCGAUGUAAUCUUCUUUUGCGGUGUGUUUGUUGAGACCGAUGAAUUGUGGGUUUAUGAUCAAGUUUAUCUAUGAACAAUAUUUGAAUCUUCUCUGAAUUCUUUUAUGUAUGAUUGGUUAUCUUUGCAAGUCUCUUCGAAUUAUCAGUUUGGUUUGGCCUACUAGAUUGAUCUUUCUUGCAAUGGGAGAAGUGCUUAGCUUUGGGUUCAAUCUAUCGGUGUCCUUUCCCAGUGACAGUAGGGGCAGCAAGGCACGUAUUGUAUUGUUGCCAUUGAGGAUAACAAGAUGGGGUUUAUAUCAUAUUGCAUGAGUUUAUCCCUCUACAUCAUGUCAUCUUGCUUAAAGCGUUACUCUGUUCUUAUGAACUUAAUACUCUAGAUGCAUGCUGAAUAGCUGUCGAUGUCUGGAGUAAUAGUAGUAGAUCCAGGCAGGAGUCGGUCUACUUGUCUCGGACGUGAUGCCUAUAUACAUGAUCAUACCUAGAUAUUCUCAUAACUAUGCUCAAUUCUGUCAAUUGCUCUACAGUAAUUUGUUCACCCACCGUAAUACUUAUGCUCAUGAGAGAAGCCACUAGUGAAACCUAUGGCUAUGGAAAAACCUGCCGGAGUUGUCAAGGAGAGUCUUAAUAAUUUUGAUAAAGAUGAUUCCGGAAUUUUUCGUUAUUUACUCGAUGAAUCUUUGAAAGAUUCUUGGGAUAGGCUGUUAAAGAUCCGGGCUAGCUAUGUACCCCAAUAUCAAAUAGAGGUUUACCUAAAAAGCUUUUAUGUUGGGUUGCCCGCUUCGUUCAAACAAGUUUUAGAUUCUAUUUUUGAAGAGGGUUUUCUUGAAGGGGACCCCAUAGAUACCUAUGAAAAGAUGAAAACUAUAUUUGGGCACCCCAUUAAUGAGAAAGUUGAAACCACAUCUAUUUUGCUCUCUUACCAAAACGAAUCUAUCAAAGCAAUAAAAGCUAGCCAAGAUGCCAAUUUCCGCAACAUACUUAAUCUUUCUUCUACCAUUAAUAGCCACGUGCUUUAUCAAAAUAGAAAGAUUAAUUCCAUAGAUAACAAGUUUGCUCUUUUCUUCCCUAAAACCAAAGAUGGCAAUACCUAGAUCUAUCCUUGCUUUUAUGCCUAGCUAGGGGCGUUAAACGAUAGCGCUUGUUGGGAGGCAACCCAAUUUUAUUUUUAGUUUUUUUGCUUUUUGCUUCUGUUUAGGAAUAAAUAUUUAAUCUAGGCUCUGGUUAGAUGUGGUUUUAUGUUUAAAUUAGUGUUUGUGCCAAGUUAAACCUAUAGGAUCUUCUUGGAUGAUAGUUAUUUGAUCUUGCUGAAAAUUGCAGAAACUUUCUGUUCAUGAAAAUAAUUGUUAAAAAUCACCAGAACUUUAUAAAAUAUUGAUUCCAAUUGCUUCUGAUCAAUAAACAAAUUGUCUAGGUCGUCCUAUUUUGGCUGAAUUUUUGGAGUUCCAGAAGUUUGCGUUAGUUACAGAUUACUACAGACUGUUCUGUUUUUGACAGAUUCUGUUUUUCAUGUGUUGUUUGCUUAUUUUGAUGAAUCUAUGGCUAAUAAAAUAGUUUAUAAACCAUAGAGAAGUUGGAAUACAGUAGGUUUAACACCAAUAUAAAUAAAGAAUGAGUUCAUUACAGUACCUUCAAGUGGUGUUUUGUUUUCUUUCGCUAACGGAGCUCACGAGAUUUUCUGUUAAGUUUUGUGUUGAGAAGUUUUCAAGUUUUGGGUGAAAGAUUUGAUGGAUUAUGGAACAAGGAGUGGCGAGGGCCUAAGCUUGGGGAUGCCCAUGGCACCCCAAGAUAAUAUAAGGACACCAAAAAGCCAAAGCUUGGGGAUGCCCCGGAAGGCAUCCCCUCUUUCGUCUACUUCCAUCGGUAAUUUACUUGGAGCUAUAUUUUUAUUCACCACAUGAUAUGUGUUUUGCUUGGAGCGUCUUGUAUGAUUUGAGUCUUUGCUUUUUAGUUUACCACAAUCAUAUUUGCUGUACACACCUUUUGAGAGAGUCACACAUAAAUUGGAAAUUUUUAGAAUACUCUAUGUACUUCACUUAUAUCUUUUGAGUUAUAUAGUUUUUGCUCUAGUGCUUCACUUAUAUCUUUUAGAGCACGGUGGUGGAUUUGUUUUAUAGAAACUAUUGUUCUCUCAUGCUUCACUUAGAUUAUUUUGAGAGUCCUACAAAAUAGCAUGGUAGUUUGCUUCAACAAUGAUAGGCAUUCAAGAUUAGUUAAAAAUAUUCUUAUGAGUGUGUUGAAUAUUAUGAGAAGUUUGAUACUAGAUAAUUGUUUUGAGAAAUGAAGAUGGUGAUAUUAGAGUCAUGCUAGUUGAGUAGUUUUGGAUUUGAGAAAUACUUGUGUUAAAGUUUGUGAUUCCCGUAGCAUGCACGUAUGGUGAACCGUUAUGUGAUGAAGACGGAGCAUGAUUUAUUUAUUGAUUGUCUUCCUUAUGAGUGGCGGUCGGGGAUGAGCGAUGGUCUUUUUCUACCAAUCUAUCCCCCUAGGAUCAUGCGCGUAAUACUUUGCUUUGAUUACUUGUAGAUUUUUGCAAUAAGUAUAUGAGUUCUUUAUGACUAAUGUUGAGUCCAUGGACUAUACGCACUUUUCCUCCUUCCACCAUUGCUAGCCUCUCUAAUACCGCGCACUUUUCGCCGGUAUCAUACACCCACCAUAUACCUUCUUCAAAACAGCCACCAUAUCUACCUAUCAUGGCAUUCCCAUAGCCAUUCCGAGAUAUAUUUCCAUGCGACUUACCACCGUUUCGUUUAUUAUGACACGCUCCAUCAUUUUCAUAUUGCUUCGCAUGAUCAUGUAGUUGACAUCGUACUUGUGGCAAAGCCACCGUUCAUAAUUCUUCCAUACAUGUCACUCUUGAUUCAUUGCAUAUCCCGGUACACCGCCGGAGGCAUUCACAUAGAGUCAUAUUUUGUUCUAAGUAUUGAGUUGUAAUUGUUGAGUUGUAAGUAAAUAAAAGUGUGAUGAUCAUCAUUUUUAGAGCAUUGUCCCAAGUGAGGAAAGGAUGAUGGAGACUAUGAUUCCCCCACAAGUCGGGAUGAGACUCCGGACGAAAAAAAAA
rnacentral:lncRNA from 1 species